AGCUUUCUUGGAAUUACUGGGAGACACAGAGAUUGAGAGGGAAGCUAGCUUGUUUUGUUUUUGUUCUCCAUUCUUCUGGAGGACCAGAAUGGCAUCACUCUGUUGGGGGAAAAUUAGAGUGUGCUUGUCUGUGGCUGAUCAGGUGAAUACAAGCUCAAAGGCUCUACCAUAGGAGUCAGAGAGAGAGAGUAGAAAGGCCUUGUGGUCUUGGGGUGGGAGAAGAAAGUUAGAGGGAAUAGGGCAUCAUUGAAAGGUGAGAUAGAAAGAUGAGCCAGCUGAUAAAGCAAGUGAUAAGUAUAUGUCUGUCCCAGAGCUACAUCUGUCCAUGGUAUGAUCUUUGAUGUCUUGGGGAUCAGGGUAUAGAUUGUGAUUUCUAUUUGUUAUCAUCAUUUAAAAUGAGGCCAUUCACUUAAAGUGCUUAAGCCUCUAUCAUUAAAUGUAGCUGGACUCAAUGACCUCUAAGGUUCUUCUGAGCUCUAAAUCUAUGAUGACAUCAGUGAUGUCAAGAAUAAGAAAAUGCCAGUUAGUAUUGGGUGGGAAUGUAAGCCAGGAAAAUAAUGCUCUUCAGGAAGAAGGAGAGGGUGAAAAAGACGGGCUAGAGAGGGAAAGAGAAUCAGAAGAAGGGAGGGUGAAAUGUAGAAAUAAAAUCAGAGAGAUGCCAAGGCACAGAAACAGAUAAUCAGAUACAGAGGCAAUGAAGGAGACCCAAGACAGAGAAAGAGGAAAACAGAGAAAUAAUAGAGAGAAACUUUGAGCAAAGAAAUGAGGGAAGAGACUACUUUGUAGGACAGAGAGGCAUUCAGCAAGGAGAGAAAAAGAUUUAAAAGGCUAGGACCUUGGGAAAGUAUAAUGGUGAUGGAGAUGCCAUCAUGGUUAAAGCAUUAUUAUUGGAAUUGUCUGAGUGUCAGUACCAUAUUGAGUGUUGAUUAACUUUCUUCCUGUGAGCAAUAUUUAAGGAAAUGAACAAAAAAGAGAUGAGAAAGGUGAAAGAGAGAGAACAGAAGGAACAGUUGAAAAUGAAUGGGAGGUAGCUAUGAGGUGCAAUGGAGAAAGAAGGGCUUAGACCUAGAAUCAGGAAGAUAUCUUUUCCAAACAUGUCAGUGUCAAUAAGCCUAAAGCCCCUAUGUCUCUGAGACCUUGCUCAUGGCUUUCAACUCUAUCUGCCUCAGUUUCCUCAAGGUUAGGAACAGACAAAAGCCUUAGCACUUCCUGCCGAGCAGUAUUCUGAUAGGUUUCUAAGGAGAGAAGAGUGACUGAAGAAGCAACUAAGAAAAAAGUGAGAGUAGAGGCAUGGACAGGGGAUUCCACAGUAAGGUGGAAGGGUCCGUAGAGACAGACAGGCCCAGAGAAGGGAAGCAGAAAACCCAGAUUUGACACAUACACACUCUCUAAGCAUAAAGGGAAAAGGAAAAGGAAAAAGAUCUCUUGAUAAUUGGCUGAAGAGUGAGAUAAUGUAUUUGGGAUGGAAUGAUACAGGUGUACUUAGAAAAGGUAAAAGAGAGCAACAAAGGGAGUAGAUCUGGAGAGGUGGCAGAGGGGGCAGAGCUGAACUGUAGUAUGGAAUGGGAAACAUGUUGAGAGUGAGACCUUGUUAAGGUUGAAUGCCUUCUCAUUAAUCCACAAGGUAUGUCAAGGCAGACAAGACAAGCAUUCUCAGCCAUGGCUUUCUCUUCUAUCAUAUGAUGUUAUCAACAGUAUUUUUUUUCUACUGCCAUUGCAGUAGGACCUGUCUCUGUUUCUCUGACAGAUGGAAGGAAGAGAGAGUCUUUAGGAUAGGGCAGAGUAUGGGACAAUCAAGAGGAGGCAGCCAUAGUGGAGAUAAGUUGUGAAGCAUCUUGGGAUGGAGAGAAGAAGCUAGAUCUCCUAGGAUAAAAUUUGGAAAACUGAGCAGAUGAUUUGGAAUGUUCUUUCUCAAACGAAUAUGCAAAGAAUACUGAAGAAAUGCUUUUAAUAGCCUCACUCUCAGCAUCUGAGGUUCUGAAAAGAUGAAGUGGAACUUAGUGGCCCCUGAGGUUCUAUCUACCUCAAAUUCUUUGACAAAACUAGCUUGGACAAGAGGCAAACAUGGAUAGAGAGAAAAGAAGGUAAGAAGGUCAACAGGUAGAUGGAAUCAGUGGAAGGUUGAAAAAGACAGAAACAGAGAGAUAUAGAGAAACAAAUAGAGAGAUCGAGAGGGGAAACAGAUAGAUAAAGGAUGAGAGAUAGGGGUAUGGGGGGGAGACAGAGAGAGACAGAGAGAAGGAAGGAGAAAAUCCUGAGAUAGAGGACAUUCAAAUUAAUGAUCAUUUUCAGUUUAAUGGCAAUUAAAAUUGAAGAUCUCCAUUGUAGUGGGGUUAGAAAUUCAUGAAGGUGGAUGGGGUUGACACAAAGGUAUUACAAUGGUUAGGGUCUUGGAACUACAGUCAAAGAGGCAUCAUUCCCAAUUAUUUCAAUUACAAGUAACCUAAGCCCCAAUAAAACCCACAUCGAUCAUAUAAACAUUAUAUGACUCUGUUACCUUAAGGGAAAAAUGGGAAAAAUGACAGCACCCACUGCUAAGUGUGUUUGAGGAUACAAUGAGAGAAUAAUUAUAUUGUUUUUAUUCUAAUUCUUGCAGUUUAUAUGCCCUUCAGAAAUACUCCUCUUUUUGCUUUUCUCCCUCCACGAAGUAAUAAGGAUCAGUAAACUAUGUGGAAGCUUAGAGAUUGAAACUUGUGAUAGUAUUAGUGCCUGGGAGAACAAAUAAAUGUCAGCACCCAUUGGUGGGAUUAACAGCCAGGGGAUCCAUGUAUAACUAGUGAAGAGCCACAGAAGAAAGACAUUGCCAUGGAUAGAGGAAAAUCGAGCCUUAAAUACAGGAAUCAAGUGUCAAUUUUAAAGCAAGUUAGAUCUGGAGCAAAGAGAGAUUUGGAUAUAGAGAAGAGGCAGAAAGAGCAGGAGAGAUUCAGAGAUAAGGAAUAUACCUUGUCCAUGACUUUGAACUCUUAUCUGUCCAAGUUUUUACAAGUUUAAUUGCAGACAAAGACUUUAGCACCUGCUGCCAAACAGUAUCCUGAUAGGUUUAUCAGGAGAGAAGAGAGACUGAAGAAGCAACUGAGAAAAAGGGGAGAGUGGAAGCAUGGUCAGAGGAUUCCAGAAACCCAUAUUUGUGUCAUAGAAUGAAUUUGCACCUUCCUGAUUGGGGGAACUCGAUGCGCCUGUGAGGCUCCCGAAGAUGCUCUCGCUCCCAGUGGCAUAUUCCAUGAAGAUGAUUCAAAGUCUGAAAAUGAUUCUUCUCAUCGAAAGAAAGAGAAAAGUGUAUGAAGGAAGAGCAGGAAGUUCUGAUCACCUCUGCUAAGUGAAAUUAGAAUCGAGUAGUUUAACCUUCUUUCUGUCAUCCAUUGAAACUGUCCCAUCUACCUGGAGCAGUAUUUUAUAAGUGUUCCAGUGCAAUCUGCAAAAUGUCAGAUUCCAAGAGAGCAGAAAACCUCUUCAUUUCUAGAGAAUUCCUCCUCAUUUUGGAGCCUGUGUAGGAUCUCCCGUUAAGAGGUGUCAACCUUUGUCUUGAAGACUGCUUUGGAUGCAUCUCUCAAAUUCAGUCAUCAAUGUCCAGUGGCAAGAGAAAAGACAAGAGGAUGGUGAUCGCCUGGGAUGCCGUGGAUGACUUUCACAUCUUCAAUGUUUGACCAAGUUCUAAAUGCUCUAUUUCACCUGCUUCAGCCACCUGUAUGGUCACUGAAGUACCCAGGUCUUAUCCUCCCAUUCCCUGGGCUGUGGGCAGAAAGUGAUAGAUCAAAUACUAUAGAUAGUAUAAGAUUUAGAGUAGGAUUUAGAAAGAUUUGAGUUUGAAUUCUGAUUCACAAACCUUUUAGGUAUGCAACCCUAUAAGUCACUUAUACUUUCUAAACCUCAGGUUCUUCAGGCUCUAAAAUGUUGGGAAUGGACUCAGUGGCUCAUAAUAAUCCUUGCACUUUCAAAUUCAUGAUUAUAUUGGUGAUGGAGAGAGAAGAAAAGGCUAUUUAGUAUUUGGGUAGAAGGAAAGCAACUGCGAGAGAGUAAAAUAUCUUCUAAGGAGGGAGGGAAUAAAAGGGAGAAAAGAAUGGAGAGAGAAUGGGGAUGAAAAGUGAUUGUAUAAUGUAAGUAGAGUAAAAUUUAGACAUAUCUGAGAUUGAACUCUACUUCAGAAACCUUCUACCACAUAAGUCACUUAUAUUUUCUAAACUUUCGAUCCUUUAUUUCUACGAUGUUGGGAAUAGACUCGUUGUCCCUAAUAUUCUUUCCAUUUCUAAAUACAUAAUAAUAUUAGUGAUGGAGAGAGAAGAAAAGUUCAUUUAGUAUUUGGAUAGAAGGAAAUUAAUAGAGGCAAAUACCUUGUAUUGACAGAGAGAAGGAAAGAGGGGAAUAUGCAGGAGGUGAGGGCAGGGUAAGAGAGAAGAAGACAAGGGAAUGGAGAGAGAGCAUGAGCAUUAUGGAGAAGAAUGAAUAAUAGAAGUAGGAGACCACAGGUGAGGGAGAAAUUGGAAGGUAAAGGAUAACUUAGUCUAGUGGGGAGAGGCAGCUGUGUCUCACAAUGGAAAGAGAGCUGAACUUGGAGUCAAGACAUUUGUGAUAGAAACCUGACUCACAAUGACAAGCUUUGUUACUCUGGGCCAUUCAUUUAGACUCUCUCAACCUCACUUUCCUCUUCUGUAAAAGAAUGGGACUAGACUCCAUGGCCUCACUGAUGAAGACUUUAGAAUCCUUCAUAAAUUGGAUUUAAGGGAGGUACUAUUGUGCAAAGACAUCAACCUCACUCUAGUUUCCAGAGUCGUUGAUGUCCAGGAAAAGAGAAAGGUGAAGACUAUAGUUAUGGUCCUUGAUGCAGUGGAUGACCUUGCCUUCGUUGAUAUAUAACUAAGCUGGAAGAAAUGCACAGUGCCAGAUUCUGCUGCCUCUAUGACUGUUGCAAGAAAUUGUACUAAUCCACCACUUCUGCCAGGAAAAGUCUUCACAUGCCUGGGAUUGAUAUCCCCUAACUCAGUGAUGAAUUUGAGGUCUAUUGAUUACCCUCAAUGUGAGUUAGCUAGCCUAGUGAGAAAAUUUACUGGGGUAUUUCUACAGCUUCUGGUAGGCACAGAUGAAGCCUACAUGGCACAUGGACACAAAUGAGGAAAGCAUAUAAGAAAAGGAAUAGGCAAGCCCUUAUAGUACAGAAGUACUAGACUUCCCUGAAUAUCCCUAUACCUCCUAGGAGGCAGAUAAGUAUAAUUUGGUAGAGUUUUCAGUUGGAGUCAGAACUCCCUUGAGUUUGAAUCUGAAAAUCAACUAAUGAAAAGUUGUUUUAGCUCAGGUGAGACACUUAACUUGUCUCAGCCACAAUUUUCUCUUCUGUAAAACAAUGGGCCUGGACUCAGCGGCCACUCUGAUCUUAAGGAUGAGAGGGAGAGUAAGAAAACCCAUUUAGAAUUUAGGAUUGAGAAAAGAGUGAUGGGUUUAAGGAGAAUAGUCAAUUAAAGAAGAAGGAGGUAUAGAGGGAAGGGACCCUUGGGAAUGGGAUUUAUAGACAAUUUAUCUAGGGAUACAAUUAAGUCUCCAUGUUUGUAAAGUAUUGUUGUUAGGAGUUAAUAAAAGACCAUAGUUCAAAUCCUUCCUUGUAAAUAUUCUUGCUGGAUGUGAGGCCCUGAGCAAGUUCAAGUGUCUAAGAAUUUUUUCUGCCCUAAAAUGAUAUACUUGGACUCAGUCCAUUCCAGCUCUAAUUUUAUGAUGACUACUAAUAGCAAUAAAAAGAUGACUUACUAAAUGUGAGGAAGAGCAAGGCAAAAUACUUAUGAGGAGAAGAGAGAGAAAAAGGGAAGGGCUUCUGGAGGCCAGAAGAAAGGCUGGGUGAAAGGAAAAGGACAGGUGGGCCUGUGGGGAUAGUGAGUCAGAUGGGCAGGUAUCUAAAUUAAUGCAAAAUUGCUUUUACAUGAAGUUGGAAAAAAUAAAAUAUUACAUGAGGAAAAAAAGAUGAAGAGCAAUGGGGUUUGGGCACAGUUUGUGAAAAGAUAUAAAUAAGUCUCCAUGUUUAUAAUGCAACAAUCUUGGGAGUCCAUAAGACCUUAGUUCAAAUGCUUCCUUGUUCAUAUUUUUACUAGAUAUGCGACUGAGGGCAAGUCACUUCAAGCAUCUAAGCCUUUUUCCCCCUAAUGCCCAAAAUGUUGAACACCUAGAGUUCCUUCUAGCUCUGAUUCUAUGAUGAUAUUGAGCAAGAAAGAGAACACCCUACUUUCUAGAUGUGAGGGGGAGAGCAAGGCAAAAGACUUGCAAGGAGAAAAGGAAGGCAAUGGAAAGGCUUGCUGAGGCCAGAGGAAAGAUUGAGUGAAAGGGAAAGGACAGAUGGGGAAGUGGGGAUGUUAUGUAAGAAGGGUAGUCUUCUAGAGACAGAAUGAUAGUGAGAGAGGGAGAGAAAUAGAGAUAGAGGGAUAGAAAGAGAUGAGUCAAAACGAGAAAGGAAUUGAGUAAGAAAAAUCAGCUUGGCAAAAGACAGGGCAAUGAUUGUAGUGGACAGUGAGGGACAGAAGUGAUUUUCCAAAACAGAAUGAGAACUGGAAAAGGAAAUGAGAAAUUUAUACUUGGGAGGUGUUUGGGGUGGGUCUUUAGCUCAUUAGUUGUUGUCCUUCAUACUUGAAGUGGACCAAAAUCACCUCACUGGUGAUGACUUUUUUUCUCAUUAAAAUUUUCAUUUAAGUGAAGUAGGACUGCACAAAGUUCUCUGCCUUACUCUAGGUUCCAGGAUCAAUGUCAAGUCCAGUGGAAAGACUAAAGUCAAGAUGACCACUGAUGGCCCAGGGUGUAGUGGAUGACCUUGGCUUUCUCAGUGUCCAAACGAGCUCUGAUUGCUCUACAGCUCUUGUGUAUUCCAUGGCUGUUGGCAUAAAUUAUUCUCAUCCUUCCCCUUCCCUCAGGGGAAGUCUUCACAUGCCUUGGGUAGAAACUUCCCCAACUCAUUGAUGGGGUUUAGGUUUGUCAGUUAUCCUCAACCUGGUUUUCACCAGCUUGCAGAGACUUUUUACCAAGGUGUGGCCACUGGGCACAUGACAGCUUCUUGGCGCCACAGGUGACCAAAAUGGAGAAACAGUCUCAGGGGCCUCCACCUCCAGCUUCCUUCAGAGCAAGCUUCUCAGAGCAAAACCUCUCCCACCACCCUAGUCCUCAGACCCCACUAUCUUUAAGGAAACCAUCCAAGUUCCCUCCUGUCAGUUCUCACAUCUACCAAUCACUGUCCUUGUCUUCCCUGUGCCCAUGGUGACUCUAGCUUAACCCAGGACCUCCCAGAGGUCUGUGGCUUUGCACAUAUAUGUUGAAGGUCAUAUUCUCAAAUAAUUAAAUCUUGAUCUUUGCUGCAGCUCUUCCUAAAUCCUGUUACCCUGAGUAGGGUGGAGAUUGGAAGUUCCAAGACCUGGUUCUGUCAUUCCAAGUAUCUCUAUUGUAUCAAUUCUAAAAUCAAUCAUGACUCAAAGAACUUCCUGUUCUAUGCUUAAGCAUAGGUCAAAGCCCUUUCCAUUGUUCAGCAAAAGGUUUCUGUCCUAAAGUAAUCUUAAGUAGGGAGGAGAAAGACCCUCCCAUGCCAAGGGGGUUAACAUUCCAAUAGACUAUCAGUAGGAAAUUUUUCAAGUAUGAAAUUUCCCAAUGGUGAAAGUUCCAACAUUUAUAAGUCUAAGAAAUUUUAAGGUUUACAAUCCCCCCUGAUGAUCAUUGGGAGACUAGUCUCCCCAUUGAUCAUUUAACAUAAUCAUUUUGUAGUUCUAAAUGUACUUCUAACUAUAGAUAUACACAAUAUUCAAUUUUCUAAGAGAAAUUAGAAUAGUGAGAGAGGAAAUAGAAAAAGAAAAGAAAGCAAAACCAAUGUUUUGCUAGGCGCAUUGGCAGAAAGCCAAAUUAGGGGCAGUCCCCUUUGGCAUAAAUGUGUACAAUUAUAAUAAAUGUUCAAUCAAAAGUUCAGUCCAAUCAAUCAUAUCCAAAGUUCAUUCUUGAUCUUCUUGAUGAAGUAUAGGUUUUCGGCAUCUUUCUGCAACAGUUCAUUCUCUGGAUAUAAAAGUUUCAAGCUUCUUUCUUGAAGAUCUUUUCUUGAACAGAAUCAAAAUCUUUGAUUUUUUUAUAACACUAAAUUUUUAAACAAAAUUCAAAAUUCUUGGAUUUUUAUAAAAAUUCAAUCUCAAACAAAAAAAAUUCAAAAAUGAAAAAAAAAUUCUUAGAUUUUAAAUUAAAAUACAAUCCCCCCUGAAAUAAGUAUUAAAAAAUAUCAAGUUUAGCUCAGAAUGCAAUGUUCAGUUAUGGGGGUGUAUGUGUCAAUUAUCAAAAGAAUAGAAAAAUAAUCAAAGACAUAAGAAAAAUUCAAAAUAGGCCUUGUAUAGGUCCAGUUUAAAUUAAUUUCUAUCCCACAAGUAUGUAGGACAGAAUGCAGUAAUAUUUCACUUAGCCAUUUGUAGCCAAGACUACAGGAAGUUGCCAUAAUAUAAGAAGAAAAGAAUUCUGUUUUGAUGGGGAAAUGUCAUUCCUUUGUCUGAUUUUUUUUCAGGGACAUAGGGAGCCAGCAUGAUAGUCAAGCUUUGUACUUGUUUCAGUACUUCGUAAAGAGUGUAGAUACAAGGAAGUCCUACGACUUAAACAUAAGUUAAGCGUCGCAACCUUGAGUCUCACUUUAAUAUUUCUUGUGUGCUCUAUUGGCACUAUUCAGGUUUAGUCUGUGCUCCUUGUUUUUAUCCCUUUUCCUGGAAUCAGACACAAACAUUAAUCCCAGUCCUAUAAUAUUUUAUCAAUAAAUAUCAGGUUCCCAUAGUUUAAAGCUUUUAGGCAUAUAUUGAUAUUAUAGCAAGAGUAUAUAUAUUAACUUGUAUUACUGCAGGAAAAAAUAAUAUUAAUAUUAAUUAUGUGUACCUUCAGUACAAAAAAUGAGAAAAAAAAUCAAAUAUUUUGAUCAAAAAAUAAAAGAAAAGAAAUAAGAAAAAUAAGAAAAAAUCAGUAAUUCAAUAUAUUCUUGAAAAAACAGCAUCCAUUUGUCUAUGGAUUAUUAUCUCCAAUUCAUAUGAUAAGAUAGAGUCACAAUUCAUAUGAUAGGAUACAGUCAAUCAGUCUCAGCAGAAGAUGCUUUCUUCACAUGUGAGCAGUGAAUCCAAGAGUCCCUUUCUCCAAUCUUUAUAGAUGUUGGAGUAGUUAAUAAUAUUUGGAAUGGUCCUUCUCAUGAAGGUUGAGUUCCUCCAGUUCGCUUGAAAUUCUUGAUAGAAACUUUAUCUCCUGGGUUCAGGUCAUGCAGAGAAAAGUAUAAUGGUCCGGCUUGUACUGCAGCUCCGGAUUCAUGAAGUUCACGUAGUUUGUGCUGUAACUCCUGUAUAUAGGAAGCAAUAGUAAUAUCUCCCCCUAAGCUGGGGAGAAAGGCUUAGCCUGUAUAGGCGGAUGUCCAAAAAGCAUCUCAAAUGGUGAAAUAUGUAAGUCUCCUCUAGGCCUGCUUCUAAGAUAAAAUAGGGCCAGAGGGAGAAUUUCAGGCCAUUUUAAAUGGGUCUCAGUGCAUAAUUUGCCAAUCAUAGUCUUAAGUUCUUUGUUCAUUCUUUCCUACUAUUUGGAGAGGAGAAAAAGAACUGAAAAAGGUUAAUUAACAUCAACAAAAUCAAUACAAUCUGAGAAGAAUCAUCUUCAUUAUACUGGGAAGUUCCCUGGGCACCCUCCUGAAGGGCACCUCUCUGAGGGUCAUUAGCUCCUCAAGUAUUUUUUGGACGAGCAUCAUUUCUCAUAUAUUGUUGUUGAGUAUUAUCAUUUUCUUCAUUUGAAGAAUUGUCAUUAUUUUCCCAAUUCCUAUUUCUAUAAUUCUGGUUUCUAAAGUUCUUAUUUCUAUAUUCAUUAUAGUUAUUUCCAUAGUCAUUAUUAUAAAUUCUAGAAUUCUGGUUUCUAUAACCAUUAUCAUCAUUUCUAUAGUUAUUAUUUCUAAAGCUAUUAUUAAACUGUGUAUUCCUUCCAAUCAUCUUAAGAAAGGUUCUACAUUCCAUCAUUUUGUGGCCCUUCUUCUCACAGAAGUGGCAAGUAAUGGAUUGAUAAUUUGAUUUCUGGAGAGGGACAAUUGUCGUUGGUUCAUUAUCAUGCCCACUUUCUAAUUUAGUUAUCCUAUCUAUUAAAUAUAUUAUUUUUUUCUUCAUUUCCUCCAAGUCAUCAUGGUAAGUGGCAGGUGUAUAUACACCAAAGGAGGAAAGGAGCCCUGAAAAAGGCUAAGAAGCCCUCACACCAGAGGUACUGGUCUUCUCAGAAUACCCCAUGCACCCUGGGUGGCAGUUCAUUAUCAUUUGAUAGAGUUCUCUGGUUGGAGUCAGAACCCUCUUGAGUUUGAAUCUAAAAUCAACUAGUGAAAAGUUGUUUUACCCCAGGUGAGACACUUAACUUGUCUCAACCAGUUUUCUUCUGCAAAACAUCAGGACUAGACUUGAUGGCCUCCAAGGUCCCUCCAGCUCUCUGAUCAUAGGGAUGAGAGGGUGAGAAAAGAAAGUCCAUUUUGGGAUUUGAGUAGGAAUACGCUUAGGAAGAAUGAUUGAUUAAGGAGAAGAGUCAUAUGGAGGGAAGAGAGCAAUGAAAGUGGAUUUGGGGGGUGAUUUGUAGAGAGAUGCAACUAAAGCUCUGUGUAUAUGAAGCAGUGUUAAGUCCAAAUGACAUGAAUUCACAUGCUUCUUCACACAUACAUUCCUAUUAGACAUGUGACCUUGGCAAGUCACUGCAAGUGUCUAAACCUCUUUUUGUUCUGCCCUAAAAUGAUAGAGUUGGACUCAAUGACCUCUAGAGUUCCUCCUGGCUCUAAUUCUGUGAUGAUAUUGGUUACAGCUAGACAAAGAAAAGAUUUCUUUGUGAAUGUGAGGGAGAACAAGGCAAAAGAUUUGUGAGGAGAAGAGACAAAGGGAAGGGGUGGCUGAGGACAGGGGAGGGGUCUGCUGGGGUGUGGUGGGAUAUUGAGUCAGAAGGGUAGGUCUCUAAAUGAGUGCAAUAGUGCUGUUAUGUGUACUUAGGAAAAUUCUAAAAUAUGAAAGAAAGGGAAAAGAUUAGGACAUAAAUUGCCACAUAAAAGAGCAAAAAGUAACUGAGUGAAAAGGGGGUUAGAAAAAGAUUGGAGGCAAGUUCAGUGGAUGCAUUCCAGCUUGAAUUCUAUGAUGAUACUGAUGAGAGGGGGAUAGGAAAAGACCAAUUAUUGGGUGAGAUUUAGAGUAAGGAGAUAAAGAUGUUGAGUAGGAAAUAAAGAGGUGGGGGGAGAGACAGACAGACAGACAUACACAGAGAGAGUGCAAAAUGAGAAUGGCUUGACACAUUCAAAGAAAAUCAGAGAGAGAUACAGGAAUAGUGAGAGAAGGUGACACACACACACACACACACACACACAGAGAGAGAAAACGGUAAAGAGUAACAGUUAAAUAGAUAAAGGGCAUCUGACAAGGGUAGAAGAAGCCAGCUUCUAGGUGCCAUGGUGGUUAGAGUGCUCUACUUAGAGUUCUGUCAUUGGGUUGAAAUCCCACCUCAGCCUUUGACAAGCUGUGCUAUUCUGCAAAUGUCAGUUAGCCACCGUCAGCCUCAGGUUUCUCCUCACAUCAUUUCUAGGGCUAUAUUUGACAGUAUCUCAUGAUACUCCACCUUUAUGAUCCUUUGGGUGCCAGAGAUGUACAGUAGGAAGUUUACUUGGGUUUAACUAGGAAUUGGGAGAGAGAAAGUUAGAAUGAAGAAGGCAUUGAGGAUGAAAAGGAGACAGAAAGAAGCCUUUAAAGAAAGCAGAAGUGUGAUAAGUGGAGGGAGUAAGAAGAGCAAAAUAGCUAGAUCUCUUAGUUCCAUGAUGACGAACCUAUGGCACAUGUGCACUCAGAGCCCUCUUCAUGGGCACACAUAGGGCCCUGGCUUGGCCAGCAGGGAGCCUGGCCCCACCCUCAAGGGCAGGGGUUGGGGCAUUCUAAGAGGAGGUGAGCUUAACUCAGCCCUGGGCUUGGCUACUCCCUUCUAUCCCACCUCCUCCAGACCCCCCAAGCUGAGCAGCAGUGUGGUGGCCACGCCCCAUAUGGCCCAGGGAGCUAAGGGUCUGCAGCAAGCACAGCACCCACCUCCCUCCAGUCCCUGGGAGCACAGCCGUGAUGGUGCCCACGCCACUCUGCCCCCUGGAGAGGGGAGCCCAUGCCCCUCUGGCUCCCUGAAGCAGAGCCAUGGAGAUGGCUAUGCCCCUCCAGCUCUUGGAGCCCAGCUUCAGCAGGGAAUGCAGUGCCCAUACCCCUCCAGGCCCUGGGAGCUGAGGGGUGUGACUGGACCAGGGCUGGUAGCCUGGCCCUGCCCCCAAACCCAAGGGAAAGGUAUGGGGCACUAGAGCCUCCUCACACAGCUGGCCCCUCCCACGGCCCCUUCCCUGAAUGUAGGGGGGACACUGCAUACAGUCAGGGUGUGGGGCAUGCAAUUGAGGGGCGGGGCAUGGCAUGAAAUGGGGGGUGGGCACUGGUUGGAAGUCUGGGGUGGGGGUUGGGGGGUGGGUGAGCCAUGGCACCGGCUUCCUAAAAAGUCCAAAAGCAUUCCCCAUCACUAUCCUAGUUGAUUCUUCUUAGAAGCCAAAAUCAAUUCGAUUAGAGUGUCUAAACCUGCACCUACUCUUUUAAUAUGAUGGAGUUGGACUCAUGGCCCCAAGGGUGCAGGCCAAAGCUAAAUCUGUGAUCAUAAUCAUGAUUGAGGAAAAGAAAAUGCACCAUUUAUUUAUGGGUGGGAAUUACAGUAAGGAGAAACACCAUUAGAGGAGGAGCUAGAAAAAGAGAUGUAGAAAAGGGGAGGUAGAGAGAGAAGCAGAGGGAGACAGAGGCAGAGAGAGAGAGAGAGAGAGAGAGAGAGAGAGAGAGAAUGAGGGGAGAGAGGCCCUUUUGGAAGAAAAUGAGGACUAGAGAUCCGAAAAGUUGAGGGAGAGAUCAAAGGGAAGGGCCAAUUGGCAAAUAUAGAGAAGUCAGCUAGGUGUCAUGGUGGUUAGAACACUACUUAGAGUUAGCUCUUUGGCUUGUAAUCCCACCUCAGCUUUUGCCAAGCUUUGUUACUCUGAAGAAAUCAGCUGACUGCUGUUAACUUCAGUUUUCUUCUCAUUAUACUUAUCACCUGAAUUGUAUAGUUUCUAAAGACAUGUCAACUCUCAGAUCCCUAUGUGAUGAACAGAGGUAUGUUUCCACAAGGGAGAGAGUUAGAAAGAGAAGUGAGAAUUUUGCAUAUCAGAGGUGUCAGAGAGGUAGUUGAUAGAGUCAUUCAACAGAACAAUCUGGUAAGAGCUCCUGAACUUUGAAUCUGAACUCAGGUCCUGAAGAGUUGUUAUGCCCCAGUCAAGUCAUUUAACUGGUCUCAGCCAUUUUUCUCUCCUGUAGAAUGGUAGGGUUGGAUAUGAGGGUACCUCCAGCUGUACAAUCCUGUAAGUGACAAAGGGAAAAGAAAGCCCUGGGGAUAUGGAACGCUGUGUGUGUGUGUUGGAAUAGGAACCACAAUAAUUUUGCCAUAUCUUGAUGGCCUAAAAAUGUAAAAAUCCUGCAACCACAAUUGGGUUAAUAUUAGAAAAUCCCCUUCUCCUAUGCAGAGGAGGGAAAAGUCUCUCCCACUGAUAUUAAAACCACUUAGCAUUCUUUGAAAAUAGGCCAUGCAUUUUCAUCCAAAAUGGCUUCUUUGUCAAUUCUAAUGAUAUUUGCUCCCUUCCCCUUAUCUCCUGUCCUGGAAUAGAGAACUAUAUUCUUUUUUUCAGUGAGUCACUAAACAUUUGUUGACCACCCACUGACACAUGUCAGGCAUCAUGCUAUAUACUUUGGAGAUGUAAAGGAAGGUAAAAUAUCUCUCUGUUGUUAUGAAACUCAUAGUCUAAUGGUGGAGACAAUGUGCAAACAGCUAUGUACCAAAGAAGAUAUAUAUAUAGACUUGAUGAAUUUGAAAUACUCAAGAGAGGGAAGGCAUUAGAAUUGAGGCAGAUCAGGAAAACCUUUCUAUAAAAGGUAGAAUUCUGGCUGAGACUUGAAGGAAGCUGAGGAAAAUAUGGAUGAAGAUGGAAACCAUUGUAGGAAUGAGGGAAAACCAGUGAAAACUCCGAGGGCCAGAAAUGGACUUUUUUGUUCUAGGGAAAACAGCGAGGUCAGUGUCCCUGGGAAUCGGAAUGUGUGGAUGGUAGAGUAUAAGGGGGAAAAGACCAGAAAGGUGGCAGGUGAGGAAGGGCUUUGAAUGUCAAGCAGAGGAUUUGCUCUUUCAUCCUGGAAAUCUUCCAGUAUUAUUGAGUAGUGGAUUUACUUGGUAGGUCUUGAAUUUUGGAAGAUCAUUUGGAUAGCUAGAUGGAGAAUGAAUGGAGUAAGGAAAGAAUGUAGGCAGGAAGACCAAGAAGAAAGCUAUUUCUUUAGUCCCAACAUGAUAUGAUGAGGAGCUGCAAGAAAUUGGUGGCAGUGUCAGAAGAGAGAGAUGGCCAAUGUUAAGAAGGCAAAAUUGACAGGGCUGGGCAUCAAGAAUAAAUUCUUUGGUUUUCACUGCCAAUAGUUCCCUUUUUUCUCCAGUAACUAAUCCCCUUCCUUCUCUCUCUUUGGUGCAGUAUUUGCAUUUUCCAUCUCAAGCUGUAGAAUGCCACUUAUUGGUUUUGUAUUCUGACGGCCUAAAAGUAAUCAAAGCUAAAUGUUGUCCUGCUCUUCCUGGAUGGUAACCUUCCUUAUCAGGCUAGUUAAUAGGGUUGCUUUCUGUUUGGUUUUCUAUCUUUGACCUAAAGCCACUGGCUUCUGGCUGACUGGAGUGCUUUUCCCAAGAGGCUGAGGGAAUUUUGCCACAAUUUGGGUUAGGAGGUAGCUGUCUGUGACUCAUUUGAGCUGGUGGAGUGAUGGGACACCUGGGAUUGCUGGAGUGCGCACAAGGUACCCUUUUUACCUCCAUUAACAGCCUCCCAUGGUGCUUUGUCAUCCUCCUACUCAUUGGGUGGUAAGAGUCAGUUUGUCCAAAUUUCUGUGUUCCAGUGGAGAGCAGAGUAAAACACAUCUGAAGAUUAUGAUGGGUUAGUUGUUUGUUGGUUGUGGCUUUACAGGAGGGAGUCCUGUCUGGGAGUAUUGUCUUAGUUAUGAAGCAUUGACCAAAGCUAGGACUAGCUAUCCUGGCACCUACACCUGCUUUCCUAGUUUUCUCUUAGGGAAGGCAGAAAGUAAGGUGACCCUCCUUUGACUGGUCAGUAAGAGGGCAGGACCUGAGAGAUGUUGGUCUGAAUCUGAUGCUCCUUGACCUGGAGGGAAAUCCUUCCCCAGAGAAAGUGACAGAAGAAGCCAUUAGGUUGGGUUGCAAGUGUGUAAGAAUGAAGAUGGCCAGUGAUUGUGUGAGUGAAUGUAUGAACUAGCAGGAGGCCUGUGGAUGGAUCUCCUCACAGUGAGAGUCCCUGACAAUCACUGGUUCCUGAGUUAGCCUAGGGACAAUCUAUGUCUUUUUGUAUAUUAUGUGGAGAAUCCUAUUGUCUUUAAAUGUCUCCUAUUGUGCAGCCUCUGGGGUCUGAAGCACCAGUUCAGCCUAUGGGUAGAUUCAACCAAAUGAGAAACCAACAAGCCACCCAUAUAGUCCUGGAUCAUCUCUUGCCUCAAUGUUUUCCUUUCUCAAUUUCUGUUAUGCCCAUUGAGAAAGGACUUCGGAACAAUGGGAAAAAAAUCUUGUGUCCUGAGACUUGAGGAGAGAGUGAGCAGUGUUGCUUGUGCUUGUCUGUUCAGUGCUGUCAGCAUUGUCUCUAAUUUGUGUCUUUGGAAAUCCAGCUGAUCUUUUUCCUGUGGUCUGAUCAGCCAAAGGGAAAAGGGUGAAAAAAAAACCGAGUUUCCACUGACAUUCCUAUAUUCCUAAUUCUGGCCAAGUUAGGAAUACAGGAGAGAGAGAGAGAGAGAGAGAGAGAGAGAGAGAGAGAGAGAGAGAGAGAGAGAGAGAGAGAGAGAGAGAGAGAGAGAGAGAGAUUGGGAGGAUAUUCUUUUCCCAUUUUCAGAAAUUUAUAGAAUUGCAAAAUUAUUAGAGAACAAAUUUCUGCAUGAAAUGUCCAUCUGGCAAUGUGCAUUACCAAUUAUGAUGGCACAGUAGUAUGUAUAUUCUUAUAUAUGCUAUGCUAUCUUAUUGAGUGUUUGGGUACAGAUCCCCUUAGAAGUGCUAACCAUGUAUUACCUCUGUGUCUCUGAAGCCUCUUUCUAUACCAGUUUCCUCAUUUAUAAGAUGAAAUUUCAUAAGAGCUACAACUCAAUAUUAUUCUGAGGAUCAAAUACUUAAUUAUCAUUUGUUUAGGAAAGACCCUGGAUCAUUUUAAGGAUUUAACAAAUGCUUUCCCUCUUACAUGAUGGGAUAAGUAUCAUUGGGUUGUAGGGAUCCACUAUAGUUUGAAUCGGUGAUAUUUUUGUGCCAUUGAAGAAAAGUGAUGCCCACCUCUCAAUUAUGAGAAACAAUCAGGUCUUGGGAUCUGGGUAGGGAAGAGAGAGAAGGAAGGGAUGAGACUGGAUAGAGAAAAAGAUUAAUUGAAAUGGAAGCACCAUUAGAUGGUUCCAAUGCUUGAUACAGAACUACACAGAGAUGGAGAAACAGGAAGAGGAAAAGAGAAACACCAGGCCAAGGAGAACUCAUGGCAAUUGGUUGGAGAAUGAGCCCAGAGGCCAUGUUAGUGAAGCUUCAUUUCAGUAGUGGAGUGGCAAUGUAGUUACAAUGAGUGAGAGAGUUUCCCUUGUUGAUGGAGCAAAUAGCCAAAGUUGAGGUGGAAAGAUCAGGGUUUUCUCCAUUAGACCUGAGGUUGGAUCCCUUCUCAGUAAUGGAGUACGGAUGUUUUCCUUUGCCAGUCUGUCAGUGUGCCUCAGCUAUAGCUUUGCCCUCCAUCAAAUGGUGUUAGGGGCCUUCUUUCCUGCAAUUAAGUCAGAGUUCUAGGGUCUUGUGAAGUGAAGAGAUGUAGAAAGACUUUGUGCACCAAACCUCACCCUAACCCUAAAAUCAUUCUCUUCCUUCCCUGCAGAGGGAAGAAUUUCUGGCUUUCAUGUAAGGAAGGCAAUUUCACUGAGUAGAGGAUUAUCACACCGUAAUAGAAUUGGAGGUGGUUUACAAGAUGUGUGUCCAAUGCUUGUAAAAGUGGAGAAAAAUGAGGAAAAUACUUUUGCAUUUGGCAGUUUUGCCAUGAUUCUGAGGUGUUUGAGAAAAAUGUUCCAAAUGUGCAGAAGAGAGAGCCAGGGGAUGAGAAGGAAAGCAGCUCUGAAGGUGGUGUGAGACAUGAUUGGGAAGAAGAGAGGGGCAAGACUGAGAAAGGAGCAGUGAAGGAAGGACAGCGAAGCAGUGAAUGAGGUGUGGGGAGAGGGGCAAUUCUAUGGUUGGCAGGAAUCAGUCUGGUUAAUCUGAGUCAGGAGAGAGAGGAAGAAACAGAGAGAGAGAAUUUUGCCUCCCUAAUGUCUUUUGAUUAUGCCUCCUUCUGUCCCCUGACACUGCCAUUACCUUGGUGCUGGCCCUUAUGACUUGGACCAUUGUAGUAGCUGCUGGUGGGUGUGUCUGCCUCCAGUCUGCCCACUCCAAUCCAUCCUCCUUUCAGCCACUAAAGUGAUUUUCCUGAAGUGCUGUUCCAGACUUGUCAGCCUGCCCCUCCUCCACUCAGUGGAUUUCAGUAGCUCUCUAUUGCCAACUGGAGGAAAGAGAAAAUAGUCUCUUUGUAGCUCAAAUCCAGCACAACUGCCCUUCCCCCAUUGCCAGGCUCCUAAUACCAGGCCAGCUCCCUGACUCACUCUGCAAUGCAGGCACGUUGUCAUCCUGCUCUGCCUUGAAUAUGGCACUAGCUGUCAACAAUGAGUAUUUCCCUGGCUUUUCCCCAGGACUCCAAUGCUCUACCUAAUGCUCAGGUUGUAUGAUGGAUAGUCUACUGUACUGGGAGUCAAGACUCUUUGAGUUCCAAUUCUGACUCACACAUUGUCACCAUCCAUGUUACCUUGGCCAACUCAGGUAGCUUUAGUCAGCCUCAGCUUCCUCAUCUGUAAAAAGAUGAGGCUGGACUCUGGGUCCCUAAGGUUUCUGUAGCUCUAUAAAUGGAUGUUUCAGAGAGAGAACCCAAAGAAAUCCUUAGAAUUAGUGUUAGAGAUAGAGAACAAGAGGAAAGGUAUUUAUUUAGUUGGUAUUCUUCAUCCUUAAAGAGGAUGAGAAUGACAUCACCAUGUCUAGGUCAGUGUAGAGUUUUUCUGACUUUGGACUCAUCAGACCAAUGGGAGUUCAAAGGCUCUAACAUAGUUUGGGCACAAGUAGCCCAUGAAAAUUUGGGAUGGAGAGUUAUGCAAAUGGGCACAUCACAGGUUUCUUUGAGGGAAGCUAGCAGUGAGGAAUAGAUAGAAAGAAGGGAGCACUAGACAUGAGUGUUGGGGCACUAUUUCAAGUGACCCAGCUUGAUCUCCUAAAGGACAGAACAGUGUCGUCAAGGAUCAUGAUGAUCUGAGAUCGAUUUCUGAUUCCCAGCAUGCUUACUAAAUGUGUGGUGUUGGGGAAAACCCAUACAUAAUCUAAGGUACUUUCUUCUUCUCAGACAUGAUGGAGUUGGACUCAGUAGUCCUUAAGGUCCAAUUCAUCUCUAUUUGAUUUUUUGGUGACAGAGCAAAAAUGAAAAGUUAGCUUCCUGUGGGAUCAGAGUGACAACAAAACUAAGAGGUUCUGAGUAGCACAGAGAGUUAAAAAUAGAUAUUUCUGUGGACAGCCAUAUUUCUGGGCAAUUCAGUUAGUGUCCAAGAUUUUUCCUUCAGUGAUACUUUAAUGGACUUGGUCUCAGUGGUCCCCAGUGUUCCAUCCAGGUCUAAAUCUAUGUUCAUGUUGUUGAUAUUGAGAAAAAGAAAAGAUAAGUUACUAUUGGGUGGGAAUAAGCAGAAGGGAAAAAAUCGUUUGUAGGCAAUAGAGAGAAAGGAAGAGUGAAAGAGACUGAGAGGAAGUAGAAAAAGAAGACAGGGAGAGAGGGAACACCACUACAUUGGACAGAGUGCAAGUAUAGAAGACCACAGAUGGAAGGCCUCCAAUAAGUGACACACAAAGGUUAUAGAUCGUUGGGCCUAGUGAGGGAAUAUAUCUAUGUGUUUUAAUGGCUAGAGGACUACAUGUGUAGUGAAGACUUUCUAAAUUUGAGUCCUGAAAUACACUGCCAAGCUGUUACCCAGCUAAUUGAUAGAGAUUCUUUCAGACUAUGUUUUGACCUCUCUUAAUGGAGGUGGACUCAAUCCCCCCUAAGUUUCUUUCCAGCUCUAAAUCUAUGAUCAGAUUGAUGACAGAAGUAAAAUGAAAAGGCCCCUUAUUGCUGAGUCAGAAUGAGAACAAGAAAGAAAAGCUUUUGAUUAGGCUAGGAGACAAGAGACAGAGACAAAGAGAGAGCAAGGAGGCAGAGAGAUAUAGACAUAAAGACAAAGUGGAAGAGAUCAGGAAAAAGAAAUAGUGACAGCAAGAGAGACAGAGCCACAGAGACAGGGACACAGAGAAAUAGAACCAUAUGAGAAUGAGCAAGGGAGUGAGGGAAGGGUCUGUGUGGAGAAUGAGAGAUAGUAGCAGAAGGUGAGGGGGAGGUAUGACAAGAGAUGGGACACCUGAGCUAUAUAGAUCAGGUCAGCUAGGUGUCCUAAUGAUUAGAGAAUCAUAUGUGGAAUUGUGUUUGAGUUCCAAUCCUAUGUCAGCUUCUGACAAGCUGUGUGACCCUGGAGGAAUAGAUUAACUAUUAUCAUCCUCAGUUUCCUCCUCUUUAUAUUCAUGGGCCUAGACUUGAUGGUGUCUAUUCAUGGUCCAGUUCUCUGAUGCUUUGGUUUCCAGAUGCUUUGGGACUGAGGCAGGAGUAAUAUGGUGCAGUUAGAGUGAAUAGGGCAUCCAGGAGGAGAGAUAUCCCUAGAUGGGACCACUGGGAAGAGGGGUGCAAGGGAUGUGUGUGUCAUACAACUAGGUCUCUCAGUGGACUGACCUUGGACAUAAGGAUGCUCUGAGUUCAGAUAUAUUUAAUAAGGGUUUGAAACUUGGCAAUUCACCUAGAGCAGUGAUAAGGAAUCUUUUUGGACUUCUUAGUGACCCCAUGCCAUAUCCUCCUUAGACUGCUUGCCAAUGCCCUCCCCCCAUUGCAUGCCAUGCUCUGCCCCCAACUUCUUGCCCAUCUUCCUGACUGGGUACAGUGCCCCAGCUGUGGGCUGCACUCUGGGGUGGGGCAAAGGGGAGGGGCUGAGCACCUCAGGGGGGUUCCAGUGCCCCAUACCCUUCCCUUGUGUUUGGGGGGUGGGAUUAAGCUAUCAGCUAUGGGUCAGCAUCACCUCUUGGCUCCUGGGGGCCAGAGGGGAGUGUGUGCUGCACUUGCCCCUGAAGCUGGGCUCUAGGAGACAGAGGGCCAUGGCCACUGCUGUGGCUCAGCUCUUGGGGGCAGAAAGGGCAUGGGUGCUGCCUCUCCCAGGGUCUAGAGGGCUGUGGGCUCAGCCACGGUUCAGCUCCUGGGGUCUGAGGGUUGUGAGUGCUGGGCUUACUGCCCAUCCUACACUCCUGGGGUCAGAGGGGAGUGGCCACCCUGCUGCUUGGCUGGGGGGGGAUAGGGGUUGGGAUGGGGUGGAGGGGGCAAGGCCAUACCCCAGGAAGAGCAGAGCUCAGCUGCUCUCAGAACACCCCACCCCUCAAAUUCAGGGGCUGGCUCCCAGCCAUCCGAGCCAGGGGCCUACAUAUUCCCAUGGAGAGAUCUCUGUGUGCUAUCUUUGGCAUGUGUUUCAUAGGUUUGCCACCACAGGAUUAGUGUCCAAGCCUCUGGCUUUGGUUAUAGUGUAAGGAAUUUUGGUGUGCGGGAUAUUAAGGGAAGACCAGUACCUCUGGUGUGAGGGCUUGUGGAUCCUUUUUCUGGGCUCCUUUCCUCCUUUGGGGUCCCCCUGCCACCCAGCUCUCACCUGUGGCCCCAAGAAGCUGUACUAUGCCCAGUGGCUUCAACCACGUAAAUAGUCUUGUAAGGACAACAAGCAACCAAGUUGGACUCAAUGGCCCCUAUGGUUUCUUUCAGCUCUAAAUCUGUGGUCAUAUUGAUGAAGAAGAGGAAAAGAAAAGGCUAGAUAUUACUGAGUGGGAAUUAAACAAGGGGAAAAGGGUGUUAAGGAGGAAAGAGGAAGAGGAAAAUAGGCAGGGGGUUAGGGAGAGAAAGAGACAGAGAAAAUAUAGAAAGUAAAAGAAAAGGGCUCUUAACACUGGGAGGAAAUAAGUGCAUGUAAGCAAAAGCUUUUGAUGAGGACAGAGGGAGAGGAGGAAAGGGAUAGUGAGAGUGAGGGGCGAGAGAGAGACAGAAUGAAAGAGCUCAAGUGCUGGGUAGGGGGUCGAGAGAACCUGAGUUGUGGAGACAGAGAGAAAAUAUCAGAGAGAAACAGUAAAACAAAAAGAAAACAGAAACAGAAAUAGAAGGCAAGAGGACAGAGACACAGAAAGAAUGAAAUCCAGAAAUUUGGAGAGAAAGAGACCUCCAAGGUAAUGGGAAAGAGAAUGAGGGAAGAGACUAUGUGAAGGGACACUAUUGUGAAGGACAGUGUGCAGUCGAGAAAGGAGAGCCCAGGUGAGGGAGACAUAGAAAGGGAAGGGACUCUUGGUAAUUGUAGGACAAGCCAGCUAGGUGUCCCAGUGGAUAGAGUAUUCUCCUUUGUGUUUGCUAUUCGAUGUUCAGUCCCACCUCACCUGCUUUACCCAUAGUCAGCCUCAGUUUUUCUUCAACAGAAUGAUGGGGCUGGAUUUGAUGGUGUCUAAUGAUACUCUAGCUCAGUGAUGCUCUGUGAAACAGUGAUAGAAAAUGUGGUCCCCUUAAGAUUAAACUAGGAAGAGAGACUUAGAGAAAAUAGGGUGUCAGGGUAGAGAGAGACUCAGAGGAAGAUUUACUGGAAGGGAGGUGGGGUGGGGUAGAAUGAGUGUUUCACAGAGCUAUGUCUCUUAGUGAACUCUUCUUGGAAGUCAGCAUUACCUGAAUUCAUAUUCUGCCUCACAUGUACUCCUCUUAGCCCUUUGAUAUUGGGCAGGCCACUUAAAUAAUCUAGCCCUCACUUACCAAGCUUAAUUUCUGAUAGUAUGGGAGAUAAAGGCAACAGAAAAGAGUAAAUACUAUUCAUUGGGAGUAAGAGUCAGACAGUCCAUUUUGAGGAUGGGGGAGAAUUUACAUUACUCUGGAGAAGUCACUUAACCACACUGUUAGCCUCAGUUUUCUCUUCCUCAAAUUGGUUACACAGAUCAUGCUCCUGUUCUUGGAUCCUGUGAGUGCCAGGAGAAAAGGGUGCCCACUUGGCAUUAAGCUUGGAGUAGACAGAGAUUGAGUUAGCAGAAAUGGGGGAUUGAAGAUGAGAAGGAGACAGAGGAAAUAGAAAUGUGUGCUCUGAGGGUAAUAUGUAGACCCAAACAGCCAGGUCUCCUACUAGACUCUUCUUGGAAUUGAAAUUGACUGGAUUUCAAAUCCCAGUUAAUAUUUGGGGAGAAAUCUUUGGUCCUGGGCAGUUCACUCAGAGUGAGUAUCUAAGCCCCUAUCCACUCUUCUAUUUAUGAUGGAAUCAAACAAAGGAGCAGCUUGUGUUCCUCCUAGCUCUAAAUCUAUGAUGAUAUGGAUUACAGGGAGAAAAAGGGAAAAUUAGUUAUUAUUACCUGGGAAUCAGGGAAAGGUAAAAAGGGUUUGAAGGAGAUACAGAGAGAAGGAGGUAGAGAUGAUGAGAGAGAGGGCAAAAGAGAGAGACAGAGAAAGAGAUAGAGAAAAAGUGACAGAUUUAAAGAUCAAAACAGAGAACUAUAAUGAGAUAUAAAGAAAAGCCCAGAGAUAGCUACUGAAAGAAAGAAGAGAUAGAAACACACACAAACACAUAUAAUACAUAUAUAUGUGUAUAUAUAUAUAUAUAUAUUUAUACAUAUAUCUGAUAUGUAUACACACACACAUAGAGACAGAGAUACCAUUGUUGGUGAACUUAUGGCAUGCAUGCUGGAGGGGGCUGCUCCCUUCCCCCUCCAUGCAUGACUAAGAACAUUUAUCACAUGACUAGCCCCUCUGCCCAGCAAGCCAAUGGGAGUGCUUCCUCCCUCCCCAUCUGGGGUAAAGUGAGGUGCUCACUUGUGGCAUGAGGGUUGCUGUUUGGGUACCUAGUCUCUAAAAGGUUUACCAUCACUCUCCUAGUGGAUAGAGCACUAUCCUUGGAAUUAACUAUUGGAGCUAAAAGCCCACAUCAGUUGCUGAUACAAUGUGCUACUCUGGAGAAGUCACUUGACCACUGUCAGUUUCAGUUUUCUGCUUAGUAAAAUCAUGGUUCUGGCUUUGAUGAUGUCUAACUAUCCUGAAGCUCAUUGAUGUUAUGAGUGUCAGAGAGAGCAUAGAAAAACCUGGUAGAUUUGGCAUGACAGAUGGAAGAGUAAGAGGGAACAGGGCAUCAGGGAGAGGUGAUAUAGAGAGAAGAGAGAGCUGGGAAGGCAGGUGGGAAGUAUAUGUCUGUCACAGAGCUAUGUCUCUUAGUGGUCUGAUCUUUGACAUCCUGGGGACCAGAGUUUAAAUUCUUCUGAUUUUUUAUAAUCAUUUGAAACAAGGCUUAGAGUUUGUAAACUCUAAGAAUAUUUUUAACACUUAGAGUAUUUAAGCCUCUAUUCUAUUAAAAUUAAAUGGAGUUGGACUUAGUGACCUAUAGGGUUUCUUCCUGCUCUAAAUCUGUGAUAAUAUUGGAGAUGUAGAAAAUAAGGAAGAGCCAGGUAUUAUUGGGUGGGAAUGUGAUUGUGGGAAAAUAAACUUUUAAAUAGUAGGGAAAGAGGAGACAGAAAAAUGUAGAGAUAAAUAGAGAUAUAGGGAUAGAGAUACAGAGAGAAAUAUAGUGAUAAAAUCAGUCAGAAAAAGAGAAACAGAGAAAUAGAGACAGAGGUAGAGCAAAACAAAGAAAAAGAGAAAUAUAGGUCUUUAACAAUGGACAAAGCAAUGAAAGAAGAGAUCAUUUGGAGGACAGUGGGUAAUUGAGCCAGGUGACCACAGGAGGUAGAGAGAUGGAUAGGGAAAGGACCAGUUGCCAAUGUAGACCAAGCCAGCUUGUUCUUUAGUUAUUUUGGUUAUAGCACUGUACUUUGGUUUAACUCUUUGAUUUAAAUCCCAACCUAAGUGCUGGUGAGCAGUGUUACUCUGGGCAGGUCAUUUAACCACUGCCAGCUUCUGUUUUCUCCUCAUUCAAUUUAUUGGGCUCUAUUGAUGGUGCUUCAUGACACUUCAGCUUUAUGAUCCUCUGGGUGCCAGAGAGCUAAAAGGAAGUCCCUUGGGAUGAAGGUUAGAGUAGAGAGGCAUAGAUUUAGAGGGAACCUGGCAUUGAGGAUGAGGAGGCAGAGGAAGUGGAAAUGUGUGGAUUGAGGGCAAUAUGUAGACCAAAAUAGCUUGAUAUCCCAGUGAAUACUUCUUGGAAGUCUCAGUGACUUGAGUUUAAAUUUUAAGUCACAUUCUGAAUAAUUGUUUGACACUGGGUAUUUCAGUUCAAAGGUCUAAGUCUCUGUAUUUUGUUAUAUUAUGGUAUUUUGUUAUAUUCAGGAAUUACCCGGGGUCCUUUCAGCUCUUAUGUUUAUAUUGAUGAUGGGGAGAAAGAGAGAGAGAUAUAAAAUUAGCAGUUAACAGUAGGAUAAAAACAAAAAAGCAGAGAGAGAAACAGCAAAAGGGAGACACACACACAUAUACAGAACCACAUGAUAAGAGAGUAAGGAGUGAGGAAAGAGACCAUUAUGGAGGAAAAUGAAGACUAGAGAUAAGAAACCAAAGGUGAAGGAGAGAUGCAAAGGGAGGAGGUACUUGGGAAGUAUACAAGGAACCAAGCAGUUGGCAGUGGUUAGAGUAUUCUGUUUGGGUUGGGUAUAUGAGAGGGUAUCCCAGCAGAGCUGCCAACUAGCUAUGUUCCUCUGAAGAAGUCACUUUAAUGACUGUGUGCCCAAGUUUUCUCUCCAUCAAAUUUAUGGUUCUAGAUUAUUUUUUAUUAAAUUUUAUUUUGAUAACAAAUUUCCACAUAAGUUUUCCAAAGUCAUAUGAUUCAUAUUGUCCCUCUACCUUCUUCCCUCUCCCUCCUGGAGCAGACAAGCAAUUCAAUCUGGGUUAUACAUGUAUUACCACACAAAACAUCAUGGAUCUCUAUUUGAUGGUGUCUAAUAACACUCUAGCUCUAUGAUCUUCUGGAUUUCAAAGAGAAAAAGGCAUAUCCAUUUGGGAUUAAUCUUAUAAUAGAAGCAGUGUUAGAGAGGAUCAAGCAUGAAGAAUGAGGGACACAUAGGGAAACAUCCAAAGGAAACAGAAGUAUUUCCAGUACAGGAGGAAUAUGGAGAGUAAUAAAGCCUGGUCUCCUAGUAGACUCUGCUUGGAAGUCAUAAUGACAGGAGUUUCAAUCAUAGUUAACAUUCAGAAGAAAUGUUUGACCCUUGGGCAAUUCAAACAGAGUUUGUAGGCCUCCAUUUGCUGUUUUAUUAUAAUGGAAUGGGACUCAAUGGCCCCUAGAGCUGCUUCCAAUUCAAAAUCUAUUAUUAUAUUGAUCAUUGAAUGGGAAUUAGACUGAGGAAAAAAAUUUCAAGGCAGAGAGAAAGAGAGGGAAAGAAAAAGGGAUUAAGACAGAUAGUGAGUGAUAGAGUAAUGGAGACAGACAGAUGAACAGAUGUGCACACAUGCACACACACAACUACAUAAUAGUGAGGAAAAGAGUGUAGGAAUAGAUCAUUUUGGAAGAAAAUGUGGAGUAAUGAUAAGAUCCCAUGAGUGAGGGAGAGGUGGAAAGGAAAGGGACACGUGGCCAGUAUAGAACAAUCAGUAAGGUGUUAUGGUGGUUAGAGUACUCCACUCAGUGUUGACUUUUCCAGUUUGGAAUCUAUGAUUAUAGUCAUAAAGAGAAAGGACAAAUUAGAGUUGGGAGUUAGUGUAAUGGGAAAAAGCUUUUAGGUAAGAGGUAGAGAGGAGGAAGAGAAGGAGAGAGACAGAGAAAGGGUGUGUAUGAGAGAGAGAGACAGAGCACCACAGUAAGAACAUUAUGGAUAGGGAUGAACUGUAGUUGUAGGAGAACACAGGUGAGGAAAGAUAUUUGAAAAUAACGGAUAUUUUAGGAUACUGGAGGAGACAGCUAGGUCUCAUGAUGCAAAGGAACUAAAUUUGGAGUCAAGAAUAUUGUCUUAGAAACCUGACCCACAAUGACAGCUUGUGAUUUUCUGGUCAAUUUAUAUAAUCUCUCUGUCUCACUUUCCUCUUAGGUAGAAAGAAGAGAUUUGACUUGAUGGCCUCUAAGGUUCUCUAGCUCUAUGAUGUAAUGGAUGAAAUGGAGAGUAAAGAAAACUCACUUGGUACUGGAGUGCCAAGAGAAUGAUAGCUUUAGAGAGAAUAUUUGAUUAAGGAGGAAAGAGGCCAGAGACCACUGGGAAUCAGACUUAAGGAUGAUUUAUGGAGGAAUACAAAGUCUCCAUAUUUAUCAAGCAUGUUUGUUGGAAUAUGAUGUGGGUUCAAAUGUUUCCCCACAUAUAUACUUACUAGAUGUAUGACCCUGGACAAGUCACUUCAAGUGUCUAAAUUUUUUAAUAUGCUGCCCUAAAAUGAAAGGGUUGGACAAAGUGAUACUCUGAGUUCCUUCUAGCUCUGAUUCUAUGAUAUUGGUUACAGCAAGAAAAGGAAAAGAUCACUCAUUGAGUGCAAGGGAGAUCAAAGCAAAAGACUUGUGAGUAGACAAGAAAGAGACAGACAGACAGACAGAUAGACUGACUGACAGGCAAAGGGAAGGAAUGUUGAGACCAGGGGAAAGGUUAAAUGAAAGGGAAAGGGUAACUAGGGAUUGGAGGAUAUUGAGUCAGAAAAGUAGGUUUCCAGAAACGGAGUAAUAAUGAGAGACGAGGAGAGAGGCAGAGAUACAAGGAUAGAAAGAGACAGAGCCCAAGUGAGAGAAAACAAGAAAGAACAGUUGACUAGGUGAUAGGCAGGGCAGUGAUUAUAGAGGAUGAUCAGGGACAGUGGUAUUUCCACAAGGUAGAGAGAGCUAGAAAGAGAAGUGAGAAUUUUAUGCAUUUGGAGGUGUCUAGGAGGGAGCUGGUUACUUGUUAUCCCUUGUACUUGAAGAAGGUGAAAAUGACAUCAAUGGUGAUUACUUUGGACCCUUGCAUAAACUGGAUUUAAGGGAGGCACAUCAACCUCUUGCUUCCAGUCUACAGCCUCACUCUAACUUCCAGAGUCAUUGAAAUCCAGUGGCAAGACAAAAUUGUGAGGAAGCUUGCUGAUGGCUUAGAAUGCAGUGGAUAACAUUGGUUUCCAUUACUCCACAUCUCCUGCUUCUGCCAAUUCCAUGGCCACUGUAACUGAUUUUUUUGAUCUGCCCCUUCCACCAUGGAGAAAUCUACACACACCUCAGGUAGACACACCUUUAUCUCACAGAUGUGACUGAAGCCUGUUGGCUACCCUCCAGCCUUGUCUAGGUAGCUUGUUGACACAGUUGACUGAAGCAUAGCUGCUGGGCUUGCUAUAGCUUCUCAGAGCCACAGGUGACAGGUGGGUGGCAGGGAGACACCAAAGGCGGAAAGUAUUCCAGAAAAGGGCAUGACAAGCCCAUCCAGUACAGAGGUGCUAGUACUUCCUGAAAACCCUGUACACUCUGGGAGGCAGCUCAGUGUCUUCUGAUUGAGUAUUCGGGAGUCAGAAUUCCUUGAGUUUGUAUCUGAAAUCAGCUAGGCAAGAGCUGUUUUACUUCAAACAAGACAUUUAAUCUUUCCCAGACAGUUUUCUCUUCUAUAAAAGAUUAGAAUUAUUCUCUAUGACCUCUAAGAUCCCUCCAGUUCUAUGACGCUAUGGAUGAGGGAGAGAAAAGAAAGCCCACUUGGGUCUGGAGUGGAAAGAGAGCCAGAGAUUUAAAGAGGAUAGUUGAUUAAGGAGAGAGGGAUGGAGGGAAGAGAACAUUGGAAAUAGGGUUUCAGCACAGUUCAUGAAGGAAUAUAAAUAAGUCUUAUAAUGCAAUAUUCUUGGAAGUCCAUAAGAACUUAAUUCAAAUGCUUCCUCAUGCACAUUCUUACUAGAUGUGUGCCCCUGGGCAAGUCACUUCAAGUGUCUAAGCUACUUUAUAGUCUUCUCUAUAAUGAUGGCUUUGGACUCAACAACCCUUGGAGUUCCUUCCAUCUUUAAUUCUAUGAUGAUUUUGGUUACAGCAAGAAAAUCCCAAGACUUGUGAGGGAUAGCACAAUAUAGAAGACUUGUGAGGAGAAGAGAGAAACAAUGGGAAGGGCUUGUUGAGACCAAGGGAAAGAUUGAAUGAAAGCAAAAGGAGAGCUGGGGAAGUGGAGACUGAGUCAGAAGGAUAGGUUUCUAGAGACAGAGUGAUAGUGAGAUAGGAAGAGAUGGAUAAGAAGAAGAGAGGAAGGGAAAGUUAAAGUGAGAGAAAGGGAGAAAAGUCAACUAGGUAAUGGCCAGGGUAGUGAGUGUAGAGGAUGGUGAAGGGCAGGGGCAUGUUUCUGAGAGAGACAGAGAGACAGAGAGACAGAGACAGAGACAGAGACAGACAGAGACAGACAGACAGAGACAGACAGAGAGAGACAGAGAGAGAGUUUUACAGAGGAGAAAUGUAUGGAAGGUGACUGGCUGUCCUUCACAUUGGCAGAGAACCAAAAAGUCACUGUUGAUGACCUUUGCCUAGCGCAUAAAUUGGAUUUCAGUGAGGUAGAGUUGUACAAAGUUGUCUGCCUAGCUUUUGGUUCCAGAGUCAUUGUGAAGUCCAGUGGCAAGGCUAAAAUGAAGAUAACUGCAGAUUACCCAGGAUGCAAUGGAUGUCCUUGAUUCUUUGAUGCCUAACCAAGCUCUAAUUGUUCCACAGUCUUAGCUUAAUGUUGCCUCAAUGGCCUUUGGAACAAAUUGUUCUCACCUGCCACUUCUGAAAGAGGGAGAUCUUCACCUGCAUGGGGUAGACACUCAUAUAACUCAGCCAUGAGUUUGAGGUUUAUCUGUUAUUCUCAACCUGGUUUUCAGUCAACCUGCCCAGGUGAUUUACCAGGUUAUGGCCAAUGGUCAUGCUACAGCUUCUUGGAGCCAAAGGUAAGAACUGGUGGGGGGGGGGCAUGUGGGCACUAAAGGAGGAAAGCAACCCUGAAAAGUGCUCACCAAACCCUGACACCAAAGGUACUAGUCAUUCUAGAACAUCAUGUAUACCCCGGGAGACAGAUAAAUGUCGUUUGUUAGUAUACUCUGGUGGGAGCCCAAAUGCUCUUGACUUUGAAUCUGAAAUCAGCUAGUGAAAAGUUGCUUUAGCCCAGGUGAGACACUUAACUUGUCUCAGCCAGUUUUCUCUUCUGUAAAACAAUGGGCCUGGACUCAAUCAGUGGCCUCUGAGAUCCCUCCAGUUGUCUGAUCUUAUGGCUAUGAGGGUGAGAAGAGAAAACACACUUUAGACUGGAGUAAGUAAUAGGUUCAGAGAAUAGCUGAUUAAUGAGGUGGGAGGUAUAGUGGGAGGGGACCACUGGGAAUGGGUUUUGGGAGCAAUUUGUAGAGGGAUAUAACUAAGUCUCAAUGAUUAUAAAGCAGUCUUGUUGGGAGUCCAACUGACUUCAGCUUAAAUGCUUUCUCAUAAAUAUUCUUACCAGAUAUGUAACCAUGAGCAAGUCACUCCAAGUGUCUAAGCCUUUUUUUGUUCUACCCCAAAAUGGAAGAGUUGUACUCGGUGACCCCUAGAAUUCCUUUCUGAUCUGAUUCUAUGCUGAUAUUGGUUAGAGCAAGAGAAGGAAAAGGUAACUUCCCGAAUGUGAGGGAGAGCAAGGCAAAAAAUUUGUGAGGAGAAGAGAGAGACAAAGGGAAGGGGUAUCUGAGGACAGGGGAAAGUUUGAGUGAAAAGAGAAAGGGCAGUGUGGGAAGUAGGGAUGUUGAGUCAGAAGGGAAGAUUUCUAUAUGAACACGGAAAAUAAUUUUUAUAUCUAGUUGUGUUCAAUAGAACAUUACUGAAGAAAAGGAAUGAUCAGAAGCAACAUUGUCUCAUAAAAGAGCCAUAAGUAGUGGAGAGAAAGUAAUGUUAGGAAGAGAUUGGUGAGGAUCACACUGGGUGCCUUCUAGCUUGGAAUAUAUGAUGAUAAACAUGAGACGGGAAAAGGACGAGGCCACUUAUUGGGUGGGAUUCACAUACAGUAAGGAGCUAAAGGGUUUGAGUAAGAAAUUUAGAGGAGGAGGAAGAGAAGGAGGAGGAGGAGUAAGAAGAGGAGGAAAAGGAGGAGAGAGUAAGAGAGAAAUGAAAAAGUGGUAGUGAAAAAGAAUAGAAAACCAGAGGCAGACAAAGCCAGAGAAGCCAAGAUAGUCUCACACUCAGACACACAGAGUAAGCAGUGUGGGGAGAUAACCCAUUCACAUACACACACACAUACAUACACACAUACAGAGGGAAGGAGCUACUUGGGAAUGAGGCUAGAGAGAAUUGUAUAGAAAGGAAAAGUGGACUCUUCUUAGGAGUCAGGAUGGCCUCCAUUAAGUCCUGACACAGAGAUAUUCCUAAUAGCUUGUUGAGUCCAGACAAGCCACUUAAAGUGACUAAGCCUCAGUUUCCUCUGUCAGGACAUCAUAGAAUUGGACUCAGUUGUCCUUAAUGUUCAUUCUAGGUCUACAUCUAUGAUCGUGACCUUGUUAGGAAGGAAAAAAUAGGGCCACUUGUUAUUGGGUAUUAGUGAGAGCAAUGCCAAUAGCUCCUGAGCAGGGGAGAGAGACGAAAUAGCAUUAUGUUAUUUGACAGUAGUAUGGAAAGAAGGAAUGGAAGGGAGAACUAGGGAAUUUGAGGAGAGAGUUAGAAGAGUAUGUGUUCCUUAGCCAAAGAGGAUUGAGAUAGACCAAGGAAGAAAAAGACUCUUGGUCAUGAGCAGGGAAAUAAUGGAAGAGACCAAUAUAGAAGGGAUUGAGAGACACAGAUAAGAGACCCCUAGGGAUGAAGAGGUAGCAAGGGAAGUUAAAUAUUCUGAUAAUGGGUAGUGUGUGGGUGGCACCUCAGCAUGAUAGCAGAUAAACUCUGUGAGUGAGUUAGCCAUUCAUUUAGUCAACAAAUGUUUAUUAAAUCCCCAAAAGGUGCAAGGCCCAUAGUUUAAAUACUAUGAGAAUCUAAAUACAGGGAAGAAUAAAGUAGUUCUUGGUCUCAGGGAGAGGACAUUGCAAUAGAGAAAGUUGCAAAGCAGGCUGAGAGCAGGAAGUGGGUGAGGUACUUGGGAUCCUGGGGCAUGAGACAGAGUUGUCUGUCUUGGGCAUCCCCUUAAGGAGGGACCUGGGAGAAGCAAUGAAAUCAGAGACAAUGUUUUCUGAUUAUGAACUCUUGGACUAAAGACAAAUUCCCUGAUGAACAAUGGUAUGGCAUAGUGGCCAUAUUCUGAGGGCAUGCUGGAACUCAAAGAAGAGCACUGGAAUUGGAGUCAUAGGUAUUUGGUUCUGAGUCCCACUUUAGCCACUGUCCAUCUGAGUUCUCCUGGAGAUAUCAUUUAACUUGUCUCAGCUACCAUUUUCUGUCUUGUAGAAUGAUAGGGCUGGACUUGAUGGCCUCCAAGGUCUCUCCAGAUAUAUAGUCCUUGAAGUGAUAGAGAUAAUAGAAAGGUCUGAGGAUAUGGAAUCAUGUGUGUGUGUGUGUUGGAAUAGGAACCAUAGUCAUUUUGCCACAUCUUGAUUUCCUAAAAAUUUAGAAAUCCUGCAUGGGCUAAUAUUAGAAAAUCCCUUGCCCCUAUGCAAAGAGGAGGGAAAAGUCUCUUCCACUGAUAUAAUAAUGACUCGCUGCCCUUGAAAAUGAAACCAUGCAUUUUUGUCCAAAUUGGCUUCUUUGUAAAUUUUAAUGGGAUUUGGUACCUUCCACUUAUUUCCUGUCCUUGAAUCCAAAAGGAUUCUUGUUUCAGUGAGUCACUAAACAUUUAUUGACCUCCCACUAUGCAUCAGGCAUCAUGUAAACCCUGGAGAUGUAAAGGAAGGUAAAAGAUGGUCUCUCUGCUGUCAGGGAGCUCACAGUCUAAUGGUCAAGACAACAUGUAAAUAGCUAUGUACAAAGAAGAUAUAGACUUGAGGGCUUUGGAUGCACUAUUUCAUCCUGGAGAUCCUGGAGUAUAUUGAGUAGUGGAGUUUCAUGGUAGGACUUGAGCUUUUGGAAGAUCAUUUACAUAGCUAGAUGGAGGAUGGAAUGGAGUAGGAAGGGAGUUGAGGUUGGACGACCAAUAAGAAGGCUAUUUCUUUAGUCUAGGCAUGAUAUGAUGAGAAUCUGCGCCAAAGUGGCUAGUGGAUAGCAUCAUAAGAGAGAGGUGGUAGAUGUUAAGAAGGUAAAAUUGACAGGGCAUGGUUUUCACUGCAAAUAACCCCUUUUUCUCUGGUAGCUAAUCCCCUUCCUUCUUCCUCUCUUGUACAAUGUUUGCCUUUUCCAUUUCAAGCUGAAGAAUGCCACUUAUUGGCUUUGUAUUCUGAGGGCCUAAAAGUUAUGAAACCUAAUUUUUUUCCUGCUCUUCCUGGAUGGUAACCUUCCUUAGCAGGCUAGCUAAUAGGGUUGCUUUCAGUUUGGCUCCCUAUCUUUGACCUAGAGCCACUGGCUUCUGGCUGACUGUUAUGCUUCUCCCAAGAUGCUGAGGGACUUGUCCCACAAUUUGCAUUAGAACGUAGCUGUCUGUGACUCACUUUGGCCUUGUGGAGUGAUGGGACACCUGGGAUUGCUGGAGCGCGCACAAGGUACCCUUUUUACCUCCAUUAACAGCCUCCUGUGGUGCUUUGUCAUCCUCCUACUCAUUGGGUGGUAAGAGUCAGUUUGUCCAAAUUUCUGUGUUCCAAUGGAGAGCAGAGUGAAACACAUCUGAAGUUCAUGAUGGGUUAGUUAUUUGUUGGUUGUGGCUUUACAGGAAGGAGUCCUGUCUUGGAGUAUUGUCUUAGUUAUGAAGCAUUGGCCAUGGCUAGGACAAGCGUCUUGGCACCUACACCUGCUUUCCAAGUUUUCUCUUAGAGAAAUCAGAAUGCAAGGAGACAUCUCCUUUGACUUGUCAGUAAGAGGGCAGGGACUGAGAAAUAUUGGUUUGAAUCUGAUGCUCCUUGACCUGCAGGGAAGUCCUUCCCCAGUGAAAGUGAUAGAAGAAGUCAUUAGGUUGGGUUGCAAGUGUGUAAGAAUGAAGAUGGCCAGUGAUUGUGUGAGUGAAUGUAUGACCUUGAACCUGUCAUAAAGGGAAACCCAUGUAAAGACCUACAAGAGACUUAUGGAUGGAUCUCCUCACAGUGAGAGUUCCUGGUAGUCACUGGUUCCUGAGCUAGCCCAGGGACAAUCUAUGUCUUUUUGUAUAUUAUAUGGAGAAUCCUACUGUCUUUAAAAGUCUCCUAUAGUGCAGCCUCUGGGGUCUGAAGCACCAGUUCAGCCUGUGGGUAGAUUGGGCCAAAUGAGAAACCAACCAAGCCACCCCCACAGUCCUGGAUCAUCUGUUGUCUCAAUGUUUUCCUUUCUCAAUUUCUGUCAGCAGUGGAAGCUGCAGUACUUGGGUUCUUCAUAGAUGAGACUGGCCUCAAUGGUCACUAAAAGAACAUCCACCUCUAAAUAUUUGAUAGAACAGGUGUGAAAGAGUAAAAAAGAUGAAGAUGGAGACAACUGGAGAGUUCAGCCAAAGGGCAAGUAGAGGAGAGGAAGGAGGAAAGAGAAGGAAUGAUGCUGUUUUAGUUUCUUUUCCUACGUGUAGGAAUUGAAGGAAUUGUAUAUAAAUUAUAGUGGUAGUCUCUUGGUGAUCGAGUAUGACUAUGAGAACCAAUUUUUGAGUCAAGUGUUCUUUAUUCAAUAGAUAUUCCAUCAUCUUGUUGUCUUUUCUAGGUUACAACCCUUUAGAAGUGCUGAAAUGGAGGCUUGGUAGCAUUUGCUUAACAACUUCCCCCUAAGCUUUGGAACAUUCUCUUCCUUUCCUGAAGAGUGAAGGAUUGGUGGCUUUAGUUUUUGGAAAGUGAUUUCACUGAGUAAAGGAUUCUCAGUGCUUAAUACAAUUGAAGCUUCUUUACAAGUUUGGUCUCCAGUGAUUUCAAAAGUGGAGAACAAGAAAGCAAUUAUUUUUUAUGGUUUGAAGUCUUGAGGCAUGAUCUAGUUCUUAAGGAAAGCCUAGUAUAUUCUGGCUUGGAAAGAAAGAAUCUUAUUUUAAACAGAAACCAAAAUGGAAUGAGGGAGUACUGAGUUUAAUUUUAGCAGAGUUGUUUAUCUGACUAUUGUGGUCUUCACUGAAUCUGAAUCAUUUAGCAGAAUGUCAUUGCCUAGAGAAAUGAGAAACAGGGGCACCUAAAAGGAAUGAAAAUCGAUGAUGCAUUUUAAGCACUCGAGGAAAGAAUCAAAUUAGAAUCCUUUUGCUUAGUGAAAUGAGAAACUCUGUUAUCCUGUAAGCUUCAAUUCUGAUCAGGGAAUAAUACAGAUGUGCCAUGAUUCUGAGUUGUUUGAGAAAAUUGUAGUAAAUGUGCAGAGGAGAGAGCCAGGGGAUGAGAAGGAAAGCAGCUCUGAAGGUGGUGUGAGACAUGAUUGGGAAGGAGAGAGGGGCAAGACUGAGAAAGGAGCAGUGAAGGAAGGACAGCGAAGCAGUGAAUGAGGUGUGGCGAGGGGCAAUUCUAUGGUUGGCAGGAAUCAGUCUGGUUAAUCUGAGUCAAGAGAGAGAGAGGGAGAAACAGAGAGAGACAGAAUUUUGCCUUCCUAACAUCUUUUGAUUAUGCCUCCUUCUGUCCCCUGACACUGCCAUUAUGAUACUUCCUUAUGACUUGGACCAUUGCAGUAGCUGCUGGUGGGUGUGUCUGCCUCCAGUCUGCCCACUCCAAUCCAUCCUCCUUUCAGCCAUUAAAGUGAUUUUCCUGAAGUGCUGUUCCAGGCUUGUCAGCCUGCCCCUCCUCCACUCAGUGGAUUUCAGUAGCUCUCUAUUGCCACCAGGAGGAAAGAGAAAAUAGUCUCUUUGUAGCUCAAAUCCAGCACAACUGCCCUUCCCCCAUUGCCAGGCUCCUAAUACCAGGCCAGCUCCCUGACUCACUCUGCAAUGCAGGCACGUUGUCAUCCUGCUCUGCCUUGAAUAUGGCACUAGCUUUCAUCAAUGAAUAUUUCUCUGACUUUUCCCCAGGACUCCAAUGCUCUACCUAAUGCUCAGGUUGUAUGAUGGAUAGUCUACUGUACUGGGAAUCAAGACUCUUUGAGUUCCAAUUCUGACUCACACAUUGUCAUCAUCCAUGUUACCUUGGCCAAGUCAGGUAGAAUUAGUCAGCCUCAGUUUCCUGUUUUGUAUAAAGAUGAUCCUGAACAGGAGGGCCUCUAAGGUCCCUGUUAGUCUAAGACCUGGUAGAUGAGAAAGAGAGGGGGAAAAUUCAAGAAAGCCUUCUUGAAAUUAGUAUGUGAUAUAGAGAAUGGGAAGGAAGCCAGCUUGUUUGGUUGUUCUUUGUCCUCAAAGAACACCAGAAUGACAUCAUUGUGUCCACUUGGGUGUAGAAUGUGUCUUACUUUGGUUGAUCAGACCAAUACAAGCUUAAGGUUCUACAAGAGUUCAGGCAGAAGGAGCCCACAUGAACAUUUGGGAUGGACAUGUCUCUAAAUUUGCACAUCUCAGGUUUCUUUGAAGGAAGCUAGCAGUGAGAAAGAGAGAGGGAAGGAACCACUAGACAUGAGGGUUGUGGCAAAUAUGUGACCCUCCUUGUUCUUCUAAAGGCUAGACAUGCUGUCAUGAUGACCUGAGAUCAAUUUCUGCUUCCCAGCAUGCUUACUAGCUGUGUGAUGCUGGGAAAGUCCCAUAAAUUGUCUAAGGUGCUUUCUUCUUCUCUGACAUGAUGGAACUGGACUCAGUAGCCCUUAAGGUUCUUUUCAGCUCUAAAUAUCUAAUCAUAUUGAUGACAGAGAGAAAAUGAAAAGUUCCUUUGCAAUUAGAGGGACAAUAAUACUAAGAGCUUCUGAGAAGCAGAGAGAGUCAAAGAAUAGGAAUUUCUGUGGACAGCUAAGUUUCUCAGUGGCCCAUUGUUGGAAAUCAAGAUAACUUGAGUUCAAAUCCUACUCCCCAUUUUGAAUAAAUAUUUCAAGUUGGGAAAUUCAAUUAGAAUGAUUAAAUCUCUAUUUCUUCAUACAUAUGUAUGUAUAUGUUUGGAUUGGACUCAAUGUCCCCUAAGAUUCCUCCCAGCUCUUACUAUAUGAUCAUAUUAUGUUGGUGAUAGAAAAAGGAAAUAUCUGGUAUUACUGGGUGAGAAUGAGACCAAGGGGUAAAAAGUUUUAGAGCAGAGAAAGAAAAGGACAGAUACAGAAUUACAGAGAGAGAAAGAGAAAAAUAUAUAGAUACAAUCAGAAAGAGCUGGACAGACAAAAAAACAAGAGAUAGAGAUAUAGAAACAGAGAAAUAAUGUAACUGAAAGAGAGGGAACCAUUUGAUAGUAGGCAAGGAAUUGAGAGAUGAGACAUUGUUGUGGACAGUGAGUAAUAGAGUUAGGAACCCACAAUGAAGGAAGAUGGGAAAGAAUGGGGCAAGUGGCCAUUGUAGCACAGGCCAGCUCGUGUUUAGACCAAUAUUAUUAGAGCUCACUGAUAUGAUACAUGAUGCCAUAUAAGCCAUUGGCAAACUCUGUUACUUAACUUCUGUCAGCUUCAAUUUUCUCCUCUUUAUAUUCAUUGAGCUGAACUUGACAGUGUCUGAUGACUCUCCAGCUCUAUGAUCUCUGGGUGCCAGAGAGAGAAAAGGAUGUCCCUUGGGAUUGAGGGAAGAGGAGGGUAAUAGAGGGAAUCAGGCAUUUAGGAUAAGGAGACUGAGAGAAAUACCCACAGAGAAUAGAAGUUUGUGAAGUGGAGGCAGCAUGUAGAGUAAAACUUCUAGUUCUACUAGUAGAGUCUACUUGGAAGACAGAAGGACCUGAGUAGCAGUGCUACUUCAUAUUCUUGCUAAAUGUUUGAGCCUGGGAAAUUGGUUUAGAGAGUCCAAGCCUUAGUUUUCUUAUACUCCUUCUGUUAUACUCUAAUGGAGUUGGACUCAAUGACUCCCAGGAUUCCAUCCAAUUCUAAGCCCAUGUUCAUAUUUUUGAUAUUGAGAAAGAGAAGAAAUUAGUUAAUAUUGGGUAGGGAGGGGAAGAAGGAAAAAAAAGUUGAAGAGUAGAGAGAGAGACCAUUACAAUGAGCAGAGUAGUGAUGUAGGAGGCUAUUGUAGAAGGUUUGGAGUUUAGGAAACCAAAGGCCUCCAAUAAGUACUACACAAAGAUUAUGGAUACUUGGGCCUAGUGAGGGAGUAUAUCUGGGUGUUAUGAUGGAAUGAGAACCAUAUUGGUAGUGAAGCCUUGUUAAAUCUGAGUCCUUAAACAUAGCGCUGAGCUGUUAUCCAAGCCAUUCACACAUCUUCUUUCAUACUAUCUUUUAACCUCUCUUAGUAGAAUUGGAUUCAAUGGCCCCUUAUGUUCAUUCCAACUCUAAAUCUAUGAUCAUAUUGGUGAUAGAGAAAAGGGAAAAAUAUUUUUUAACUUUUUUCUCAAAAUUUUAUUGAUAUUUUCUAUUUGUUACAUCACCACAAAUAGCCCAUGUGUUCCUCCCAGAGCCUUCCCAUAUCACAAGCAGUAUCCUUUUAGAGGGAAAAAGUCUUACAGAGCCUGUGGACCGGGUUGGAGGUAUCUCCUUGUAUCUUGUUAUUUCAGUCUUUAUAAUAGGGUGUAUGGGAUUUUUUUAAGUUUUAGUAACCAGCAACAACAACAACAAAUUUUAAGUAAACUUUCCUUAUUUUUAACAGAUUCUCAAAGGCCAGAAAAAGUCCAUUAUUAUUGGAUGAGAAUGAGAAUAAGAAAGAGGCAGAAAGAUUUAAAGACAGAAUAGGGGAGAGCCAGGGACAGAGAGCUGGAUAUAUAGACAGCAGGAGUGACAGAGUCACAAAAACAGAGACACAUAGAGAAAGAGAACUAUAUAAUAAUGGCAAGGGAGUUAGGAAAGAAUCCAUGUGGGGAAUGAGAGAUAGAAGUAGCAGUAGGUGAGAGAGAUGUGAAAAGGGAUGGGACACCUGAGCAUUAUAGGUGAGGUCAUUAGGUGUCCUAAUGAUUAGAGAAUUAUAUGUGGAAUUGACUAUUGAGUUCCAAUCCCACACUAGCUGCUGACAAGCUGUGUGACCCUGGGAGAAUCACUUAUCAUUGUCAACUGUCCAAUGAUGUUCUAGCCCUUUGGUUUCCAGAUGCUUUGAAAUUGAGGCAGGAGCAGUAUGCUACAGUUAGAGUGAAUAGGGAAUCCAAGAGGAGAGAUAUCCAUAGAUAGGACCAAUGAAGAAAGGGGUGCAAGGGUAAUGUGUGUCAUACAACUUGGUCUCUCAGUGGACUGACCUUGGGCAUAAGGAUGCCCUGAGUUCCAAUAUAUUUAAUAAGUAUUUGAAACUUGGCAAUUCAGUUAGGGUGUCUAAGUCUCUGGCUUCUGUCAUGCUAUAAGAAAAUCUGGUAUACAUGGUGUUCAGGGAAGACCAGUAUCUCUGGUAUGAGGGCUUCUAGAUCCCUUUUCAGGGCUGCUUUCCUCCUUUGGUGCCCACCUGUCACCCAUUUCUCACCUGUGGCUCCAAGAAGCCGUAGUAUGCACAGUGGCUUCAACCACGUAAAUCUUCAUGCAAGGACAAUGAGCAACUAAGUUGGACUUAGUGGAACCUAUGGUUUCUUCUAGCUCUAAAUCUUGUGAAGUGGAAAAUAAAAGGUCAGUGAUUACUGAGCAGAAAUUACAGCAAGAGAAAAAAGAUAUUAAGGGGAAAGGAUGGGGGUGGAGAAGGGAAAGUACUAGGGAAAGAAAGAGACUGAGAAAAAUGUAGAAAGAAAAAGAAAAGGGCUCUUAUUCCUAGGUGGGAAUAGGAGUAGGGAACAGAAGCUUUUGAUGAGGAGGAAAGAGAUGGUCAAAGUGAGAGAAAGAGAGGGGAAAAGAGACAGAAUAAUAGAGCUCAAGUGCAAGGUAGGGGGUGGAGAGAUAGAGAUAGAAAGAAAACAGAGAGAAACAGGAAAACGAAAAGAAAAAGAAACAAACAGAGAAGGCAAGAGGACAGAGACACAGAAAGAGUGGAAUCCAGAAAUUCAGAGAGAAAGAGACCUCCAAGGUAAUGGGAAAGAGAAUGAGGGAAGAGACUAUUGUGAAGGACAGUGUGAAGUCAAGAAAGGAGAACCCAGGUGAGGGAGACAUAGAAAGGGAAGGGACUCUUGGUAAUUGUAGGACAAGCCAGCUAGGUGUCCCAGUGGAUAGAGUAUUCUCCUUUGUGUUUGCUAUUCGAUGUUUAGACCCACCUAACCUGCUUUUACCAUAGUCAGCCUCAGUUUUUCCUCAACAGAAUGAUGGGGCUGGAUUUGAUGGUGUCUAAUGAUACUCUAGCUCAGUGAUGCUCUGUGAAACAGUGAUAGAAAAUGUGGUCCCCUUAAGAUUAAACUAGGAAGAGAGACUUAGAGAAAAUAGGGUGUCAGGGUAGAGAGAGACUCAGAGGAAGAUUUACUGGAAGGGAGGUGGGGUGGGGUAGAAUGAGUGUUUCACAGAGCUAUGUCUCUUAGUGAAUUCUUCUUGGAAGUCAGCAUUACCUGAAUUCAUAUUGUGCCUCACAUGUAUUCCUCUUAGCUCUUUGAUACUGAGAAGGCCACUUAAAUUAUCCAGCCGUCACUUAUCAAACUUAGACUCUAUAGCCCAAAAUGAUUCCCUCCAGCUUUUAAUCUCUGAUAAAGGCAAGAGAAAAGAGUAUAUAUUAUUUAGUGAGAUUAGGAGUAAGCCAGUAGAUUUGAGGAGGGAGAAUCUCGAAGAAGGGAUUUUUUGUAGAGGAAGGACAGGGAAAGUGAAAAUGGAAAGGAGAAGAGGCUUAUGGGACAUGAUAGAAAUAUCAGUUAUUCAAUAAAAUCUGAGAUCUGGCAAAUUGGUCUCAUCACUUUCUGGAAAAUCAGAGAAGAAGCAGGAAUGGAAGCAGCAUCAGAUUUGAUAUUCUUGAGCCCCCAAAUCAACGCAGACAGUGACUACAGCCACAAAAUUAAAAAGACUCUUUCUUGCUCCUUGGAAGGAAAGCUAUGGAAAAUCUGGACAGAAUCCUAAAAAUCUGUGACAUCACCUUGUCCACAAAUGUCUAUAGGGUCAAAGCUAUGGCUUUUCCAGUUUCCAUGUAUGGCUGUGAGAAUUAGAUUCUAAGGAAAGCUGAGGGCUGUAACUUAAUUGCUUUGUUCACAUAAUGAGGAAAUGUCAGUCAUUGGAAAAGUCUCUGGUGUUGGGAAAGAUUGAAGGCAAAAGGAGAAGAGGAUGGUUGAGAAUGAGAUGAAUAGAUGUGUCAUGGAAACAGUAAUCAUGGACUUGGGCAGAUUUUGACAGAUUGGGAAGGAUAGAUGUGCUAUGGUUUAUGUAUUAUGAAGUGGUGGACACGAUUGAAAAACAAAACAGUGAAAUUUCCUUCCAGCUCAAUGUGCCUUUGAAGGACAAAAGGAAAAGAACUCCCUUGUAAUUCUGGAGAGAGGAGAAAAAAGUAGAGGAGAGGCAUAAAGAGAAAAGACAACUGAGAAUAGGGCCUGUUUUAGGGAUAAAUAGUCAGUUCUCCCAGGGGACCAAAGAACCAGAAGGGAAGCCACAGAAAGAGAGAAAGAGAGAAAAAGAAACACUUGAUAAUGGGGAAAGAAAUUUGAGAAGAGUACAUUGUGAAGGAUAGUAUGUAGUAGAGGAAAGAGACAACUGGUGAGGGAGAAAUGUAAAGGAAAGGGACAUCUGGGAAGUUUGCAGGGCAAGCCACCUAGGUGUCCAAAUGUGUAGAGCUUUCUAGUUGGAGUUGACUAUUGGAGUUUCAAUAUGACUACGUGGACUGCUGACAAACUGUGUUACUCUGAAGAAGUCACUUCACCAUUGUCAGCCUCAGUUUCCUGUUUGGAAUAAUUAUGGUACUGCCCUUGAUGGUAUCUAAUGAUGCCAAAGUUCUGUAAUCUCUGGAGUGUCAUUUAAUGCCAUUAGGGACUUUAAUGGAAGAAGAGAGAGUUAAUAGGAAUAGGGUAUCAAAGAGGGGAGAGAUAAAAAAAGAGAAAGUUGGGAAGUAUAUACAUGUUUUGGAUCUAUGUCCCUGAGUUUGAAAUCUUCUUGACCUAAGGUCAAAUCCUAAUUCACAUCCUUUAUUAUUAUUACUUAAAACAGGGCAAUUCAUUUAGAGAGUCAAGACUCUGUUUUUUCUUUUGUCAUUAAAUGGAGCUGGACUCAGUGACCCUUAAGGUUCAUACUAGCUCUAAAUAUAUGACCAUAUUGUUUAUAAAGCAAAAAAGAUAAUAUCAUAUAUUUUAGGAUGGGAAUGAGAGUACAGCAGAACUUUGAGAAACAGGGUAAAUAGGGGAGGGAAGAAUGGAGAGAGGAAGAGAGCAAGAGAGAGUUAGUAUACCUCUAGGCUGAAGAAGGUAGUGAGGGAAGAGACCAGCAUCAAAUAUUUCAAGUAUAGGAGGCUAUAGCUAUAAUUUGAGUGAUGUGUGAUACUCAGAAGUAAGGCUUACUUGGUAUAGAGGGGAGAAAAGUUCAGGUGUUAUAGCAUAUAGAGGGCUACAUUUAUAAUGUAGGCUAUUUAAAUUUGAAUCCAGAUCCACACUGACAUGAUGUGCUAGUCUGGGCAGUUCCCAUAAGCUCUCUUAGAAUUAAGUUUUCUUCUCUCUGAACUGUGGAUGCUGGAGCUCAUUUCCUCUAAUAUUCUUCUGUAUCUAUGAUCCUAUGGGUGCCAGUGAGAAUAAGGAAAGCCCCUAUGUGUUUGGAGAGGAGGAAGAGAGAUAGUAUUAGGGAAAAUAGGGUCUGAGUGAGGAGAGAGCCACUGAGAAGGGAUCACUCCAAGGGCAGGUGUAUGGAAUGUGUGCUUCAGAGAGCUGGAUCUCUUAGUGGAUUGUUCCUGCAAGUCAGGAUUACUUGAGAUCAAAGGUGCCUCAGACACAUUCCUGUUAGCUCUUUGUUGCUGGGAAAGUCACUUAAACCAUUCAAGUCUCACUUUCCUUUGCUCUACAGUGUUGGGGCUGGACUACAUAUACUCUUUCUAACUUCUAAUCUAUGUUAAUGUGAAAUAAAGAGCAAGAGAAAAGAGUGUAUAUUAUUCAUUGGGAUUAAGAAUAAUAUAGCAGGUUUUGAGGAGGGCAGAGAGAUAGCAAGAAGGAAUUUUUGUAGAGCAGGGACAGGGAAAGAGGAAAAGGAAGGGAGAAGAGGCUUGUGGGACAUGACAGAAAUGUAGCUGUAGAGAAUCAAAGAGAGAAAGGAAGGCAAAGCUGGAUUGAGAGCGAGUGUGAGAGAAGUUAGAAAUAAAGGUUCAGAAUCAGCCAUAAAUGACCUCUUGGUCAUUGGCAUGGGAGUGUGGAAGAAACCACAGUAUAAGGAGGUGAGAGAAAGAGGUUGAGGAGCAAAGGUGUGGUGGAGUGAGUGAAAGAUACUUCUGUUAUAUAGAUUGGGAGAGAGGUAGCUAAGGUCAUAGUGUAUUGAGUCAGUCAGUUAUUCAUUCAACAAGCAUUGAUCCAGAUUAUUAUAUGUCCCAGGAAGUAUAUUACUCCAUGGGUAUACAAGUAUAAGGAAUAGAAAAAGCCCUGUCCUCAAGAAGAAAUAUCCUAGUGUCAGAUGAAUAAAGGAAGCUGAAAGUGAGCAUGGUCCUGGGGAGAAGGGUAGCCAAUGUAGAGAUAAGAUGAAGAUGUGAGUGUAUAUUGGGAAGAAAUGAAGAGAUGGGUGGCAUGGGUGGCAUGGGUGGUUCUGGGAGUAGUCAUCCCUUCAGAGAGAGAAAGAUGUCCUAGGAUCUGAUGGUGGUGCUUCUGAGCUGUGGUUUCCAGGUUUCAAGAUUCCUUUCAAGAAGAACUGGUCUCUGGGGCAUGAUGGAGAAGUCCAGAGAGUUGAAGAGUAGAAUUUGGAAUCAUACCUGCAUGAGUUCAAAUCCCACCUCAGACACCAUGAAGCACCUUCCUGAUUGGGGGAACUCGAUGCGCCUGUGAGGCUCCCGAAGAUGCUCCCGCUCCCAGUGGCAUAUUCCGUGAAGAUGAUUCAAAGUCUGAAAAUGAUUCUUCUCAUCGAAAGAAAGAGAAAAGUGUAUGAAGGAAGAGCAGGAAGUUCUGAUCACCUCUGCUAAGUGAAAUUAGAAUCGAGUAGUUUAACCUUCUUUCUGUCAUCCAUUGAAACUGUCCCAUCUACCUGGAGCAGUAUUUUAUAAGUGUUCCAGUGCAGUCUGCAAAAUGUCAGAUUCCAAGAGAGCAGAAAACCUCUUCAUUUCUAGAGAAUUCCUCCUCAUUUUGGAGCCUGUGUAGGAUCUCCCGUUAAGAGGUGUCAACCUUUGUCUUGAAGACUGCUUUGGAUGCAUCUCUCAAAUUCAGUCAUCAAUGUCCAGUGGCAAGGGAAAAGACAAGAGGAUGGUGAUCGCCUGGGAUGCCGUGGAUGACUUUCACAUCUUCAAUGUUUGACCAAGUUCUAAAUGCUCUAUUUCACCUGCUUCAGCCACCUGUAUGGUCACUGAAGUACCCAGGUCUUAUCCUCCCAUUCCCUGGGCUGUGGGCAGAAAGUGACAGAUCAAAUACUAUAGAUAGUAUAAGAUUUAGAGUAGGAUUUAGAAAGAUUUGAGUUUGAAUUCUGAUUCACAAACCUUUUAGGUAUGCAACCCUAUAAGUCACUUAUACUUUCUAAACCUCAGGUUCUUCAGGCUCUAAAAUGUUGGGAAUGGACUCAGUGGCUCAUAAUAAUCCUUGCACUUUCAAAUUCAUGAUUAUAUUGGUGAUGGAGAGAGAAGAAAAGGCUAUUUAGUAUUUGGGUAGAAGGAAAGCAACUGUGAGAGAGUAAAAUAUCUUCUAAGGAAGGAGGGAAUAAAGGGAGAAAAGAAUAGAGAGAAUGAGAGGGCAGGGUAAGAGAGAAAAAAACAAAGAAGAUGGAGAGAGAGAGAGAGAGAGAGAGAGAGAGAGAGAGAGAGAGAGAGAGAGAGAGAGAGAGAGAGAGAGAGAGAGAGAGUAUGAGCAUUAUGGAGCAAGAUUAAUAAUUGAAAUAGAAGACCAGAGGUGAGAGAGAUAUUCUUAGGUAAAGGAAAACUGAGACAAGUAGGAGGCGGCAGGUGGGUCUCAUAAUGGAAAGAGAGUUGAACUUCGAGUCAAGACAUUUGUGUUAAAAACCUAAGCCACAAUGACAAGAUGUGUUUCUCUUGGUAAUUCAUAUAGCCUCUCUCAGCGUCACUUUCUUCUUCUGUAAAAGUAUGGGACUGAACUCCAUAGCUUCAUUACUGAUGACUUUUGACUCCUUCAUAAAUUGGAUUUAAAGGAGGCAUGGUUAUGCAAAGACAUCUGCUUCACCCUAGUUUCUAGAGUUGUUGAGUUCCUGCAAGAAGAGAAAGAUCAAGACAGUGGUGAUUGCCCUGGAGCCAGUGGAUGACCUUCACUUCUUCAGUGUUUAACCAAGCUUGAAACAAUGCACAAUACCAGAUUCUGCUGCUGCUAUGACUGUUGAAACAAUUUGCACUUAUCCUCCACUUCCACCUGGGGAAGUUUUCACAUGCCUGGAGUUGACAUUCCCCUAAAGUACUGAUGGGUUUGAGUUCCAUUGGUUAUGCUCCAUCUGGUUUAGCUAGCCUGCUGAGACAAUUCACUGGAUUAAGGAUGCUGGGAAUCCUAAAGCUUCUGAGAGGCAUAGGUGAAAGCUAGAUGUCAGAUGAGCACCAUGCAAGCAAAGCAUUCUGGAAAAGGGAUGAGCAAACCCAUCAGAGUACAGAGGUACCAGUUUUCCCUGAACAGCUUGUUCACCCUGGGAGGCAGAUAAUUGUCAUUUGGUAGAGUUCUCUGGUUGGAGUCAGAUUUCCCUUGGGUUGGGAUCUAGAAUCAGCUAAUGAAAAGUUGUUUUAGUCUAGGUGGGACACUUAACUUGUCUCAGCCACAGUUUUCUAUAAAACAAUGGGCCUGGACUCAGUGGGUCUAGCUGUCUGAUCCUAUGGAUGUGAGGAUGAGAAAAGAAAGCCCACCUGGGAUUUUAGAGUGGGAGGAGAAUAAUAGGUUUAAAGAGAAUAGUUGAUUAAUUAGGAGGGUGUUAUGUAGGGAAGGAACCCCUGCAAAUGGUAUUGAGGGACAGUUUAUCAAAGGAUACAACUAAAGCUCUAUGUUUAUAAAGCAUGGUUGCUAGGAAUCCAUAAGACUUUAGUUCAAAUGCUUUCUCAUAAACAUUCUUCUGUGUGACCCUGGGCAAGUCACUUCAAAUAUCUAAGCCUUUCUUGUUCUGCCCUAAAAUGAUAGAGUUUGACUCAACAAUUCCUUCCUUCCCACUCUAAUUCUGUCCUGUUGCUGGUUACAGCAAGAAAAAAGGUGACUUACUGAAUGUGAGGGAGAGCAAGACCAAGGACUUGUGAGAAGAAGAGAGACACAAAGGGAAGGGCUUGCUCAGGCCAGUGAAAGGUUGAGUGAAAGGGAAAGGACAGGUGGGGAUGUGGGGAUGUUGAGUCAGAAGUAUGGAUUUCCAGGGAAAGAAUUAUAGUGAGAGACAGGGAGAGACAUAGAGGGAUAGAAAGAGACAGACAGAGAAAGUGAGAGAGAGAACAAGGAAGAAAAAUUGACUAGAUAAUGUGGCAGGGCAGUGAUUGCAGAAGAUGGAGAGGGACAGGUAUGCUUCCAAAAGGGAGAGAGAGCUAGAAAGGGAAGUGAGAGUUUUGUGUAUUGGAGGUACCGUGGUUGGUUGUUGUCCUUUCUACUUGAAGAGGACCAAAUUAACAUCUGGGGUUAUUCCUUUUGAUUGGUGCAUAAAUUGGGUUUAAGUGUGGUGCUGUUGUGCCAAGAGGUUGGCUUCACUCUCCCAGUAUCAUCAGAGUCCAAUGGCAAGAUGACUUUUGUCAGAAUGAUUGUUGAUGACCCAGAUUGCAGUGGAUGACCUUGGGUCCUUCCAAGUUUCAUUACCCAACUCUGAUUGCUCCACAUCACCUGCUUCUACCAACUCCAUGGCCAUUGGAACAAAUUGUUCUCAUCUGCCCCUUUGACAGGCAUGCCUGGGGUAGGCAACCCCCUAACUGAUUAAUGAGUUUGGGGCUUGUUGGUUACCCUCAAACUGGCUGUUAGCCAGCUUGCCAAGAGGCUUUACCAACUUGUGACUUCUUCUCAUGCUCCAGCUUCUUGGAGCAACAGGUGGUACCUGAGUGUCAGUGGGCACUAAGGAGGAAAGCAGCCUGGAAACGUGCUCCACAACCCUCUCACCAGAGGUAGUAUUAGUGUUUCUGAACACCCUCUAUGGGAGGUAUCUCUGUGUCAUUUGACAGGGUACUCUGGUUGGAGUCAGAACUCUUUGAGUUUUUAACUGAACUCAGCUAGUUGAAAGUUAUUUCACCACAGGUGAGGCACUUAACUUGUCUCAGCCAUACUUUUCUCUUCUGCAAAAGAAUUGGCCUGGACUCCAUGGCCUCUAGGGUUCCUCCAGAUCUCUGAUCUAAUGGAUGAGAGGAAGAGAUAACAAAGUCCACAUGGGAUAGGAGUGGGAGGAGAGUUAUAGGUUUAGAGGGAAUAGUAGAUUAAUGAGGAGUGAGAUCUAGAGUGAGGUGACCAUUGGGAAUGGGUUUUCCAGGGAAAUUGUGAAGUGGUCCAGCUAAGUCUUCAUUUUUAUAAAGCACUUUUUCCAUUUUUAUAAAGUUGGGAUUCCUCAUUACCUGAGUCCAAUGCUCCCUCACAAACAUUCUUACUAGAUGUGUGACCCUGGGAAAUACUCUUCAAGUGUUUAAGCCUUUUUAUAGUCUGCCUUAAAAUGAUAUGGUUGGGCAGAAUGACCCCUAGAGUUCUUCCCAGUUCUAAUUAAUUCUAUGACGAUUUUGGUUGGAGCAAAGAAAGAAAAAGGCCACUUACUGAAUGUAAGGGAGAAUUAUUGAAUGUGCGGGAGAGCAAGGCAAGAGUCUUGUGAAGAAAAGAGAGAGACAAAGGGAAGGACUUGCUGAGGCCAGAGGAAACGUUGAGUGAAAGGGAAAGGUUAGCUGGGCAUAUGGGGAUGUUGAGUCAGAAGGGCAGGUUUCCAAAUAAAUGCAAACUUGCUUUUACAUGAAGUUGAAAAAAAUAAAAUAUUACAUAAGAAAAAAGAUUAGGGGCAAAAUUGUCACAUAAAAGGGCAAUAAGUUAUUGAGAGAAAGGGGAGUUAAAAAAAAAGAUGGGUGAGAAACUCACUGGGUACCUUCUAACUAGAAAUCUAUGAAUCAUGAGAAGGGAAAAAGAAAAGGCCAGUUAUUAUUGGGUGGGAUUUACAGUAAGGAGAUAAAGGGUUAAAUAGGAAAUAGAGAGGGAGGGAGGGAGAUAGAACAUUGCCUUCUAAGGAUUGGAUGAGUGAGGAAAGAGACCCUUUCAGAGGGAAACUCAGAGAAGAGAGUCUAUAGGUGAGGGAAAAAUGCAAAGAGAAGAGACACAUGGCAAGUGUAGAGCAAGCCUGCUUGGUGUCAUAGUGAUUAGAGCUUCUACUUAGAGUUGGCUCAUUGGGCUUAAAUCCAACCUCAGCAGUUGACAAGAUACAUUUCUCUGGAGAAGUAUUCCCACUGUCAGCUAAAUUUUCUCCUCACUAUAUUUAUUGGGCUGGAUUUGAUAGUUUCUAAUGAAUGUCCAGUUCUGUGAUCCUGUGGGUGCCAGAGAGAGAGAAAAAAAGGAUGUCCACUUAGUAGUAAGCUUAGAGUAGAAAUGAUAGUUAGGGAGAAAUCAGGGAUUAAGGAUGAGAAGAAGAGAGAGGGAAGCAUCCACAGGAAAUGGAAGUGUGUGGAUUGAGGGGAAGUGAGGGAUUGAGGGAGACCAGAACUGCUAGAUAUCCUAGUAUACUCCUCUUGGAAGUCAGAAUAACCCGAGUUCAAGUCUUAUACCACAUUCCUAAAAAGUGUUUGACUCUGGUAAUUUAUUUUGAGUGUCUAACCCUCUAUUACAAUAUAAUGGAGUUGGAUUCAGGGGCCCCUAGAGCUCUUUUCACCUCUAAAUCUUUCAUCAUGUUGAUGAUUGGGAGCAAAAGGAAAGACUAGUUAUCACUGAGUGGGAAUUAAAACAAGGAAAAAAGCAUUUGAGGAGGAGAUAAAGAGGAGAGGGAAAAGGAGGGAUUGAGAGAUUUAAAUGCAGAAAGAAAGAAAUCUAGAAAUGCACAUAGACAGAUAAACACAUACAUUCAGAAACACACAAAGUAAAGGAACUCCUUCGGAAUUAUGCUUCAGAAAAUAAUACAGAAUGCAAAUGUUUGACUUGUAGUGGACUUUUCUUAGAACUCAGGAUGACUCCAGUUAAAAUCCUGCCUCACAGACAUUCUUAAUAACUUGUUGAGUCCAGGCAAAUCACUUAAAGUGUCUAAGCCUCAGUUUCAUCUUUGAUAUAAUUGAAUUUAACUAAAUUGUCCUUAAUGUUCCCUCUAGGUCUAAAUCUAAUCAGAAUCUUGUUAGAAAGGGGAAAAGUAGGGUCAUUUGUUAUUGUGUAGGAGUGAGAGCAGUGCAAAUGGUUCCUGAGUAUGGGGGAGAAAUGGGGGAGUAUGACAGUUGACAAUGGAAUGGAGAAAAGGAAUGGAAGGGAGAACUAGGGAAUUUGAGGAGAGAGUUAGAAGAAUAUGUGUCCCUUAGCCAAAGAGGAUUGAGAUAGCUCAAGGAAGAAAAAGACUCUUGGUCAUGAGCAGGGAAAUAAUGGAAGAGACCAAUAUAGAAGGGAUUGAGAGACACAGAUAAGAGAGCCCUAGGGAUGAAGAGGUAGCAAGGGAAGUUAAGUAUUCUGAUAAUGGGUAGUGUGUGGGUAGCACCUCAGCAUGAUAGGAGAUGAACUCAGUGAGUGAGUUAGCCAUUCAUUUAGUCAACAGGUAUUUAUUAAGACCCAACUAGGUGCAAGGCCCAUAGUUUAAAAACUAUGGGAAUCUAAAUACAAGGGAAGAACAAAGUAGUCCUGGGUCUCAAGGAGAGGACAUUUCAAUAGAGAAAGCUGCAAAGUGGGCUGAGAGCAGGAAGUGGGUAAGGCACUUGGGAUCCUGGGGCAUGAGAUAGAGUUGUCUGUCUUGGGCAUCCCCUUAAGGGAGGACCUGGGAGAAGCAAUGAAAUUAGAGCCAAUGUUUUCUGAUGUAUGAAUUCUUGGACUGAAUAUAUAUUCCCUGAAGAACAAUAGCAUGGCAUAGUGGGCAUGUUCUGAGGGCGUGCUGGGAAUCAAAGAAGAGGACUAGAUUUGAAGUCAUAGGUACAUGGUACUGAGUCCUACUUUAGCCAUUGCCAAGCUGAGUUCUCCUGGAGAUGUCAUUUAACUUGUCUCAGCUACCAUUUUCUGUCCUAUAGAAUAAUGGGGUUGGACUUGAUGGCCUCUAAGGUCUCUCCAGCUUUAUAGUCCUCUAAGUGAUAGAGGGAAAAGAAAGCUCUGAGGAUAUGGAAUCACGUGUGUGUGUUGGAAUAGGAACCACAAUCAUUUUGCCACAUCUUGAUUUCCUAAAAAUUUAGAAAUCAUGCAACCACCUCAUGGACUAAUAUUAGAAAAUUCUUUGCCCCUAUGCAAAGAGGAGGGAAAAGUCUCCUCUGCUGAUAUAACAAUGACUCACUGCCCUUGAAAAAGAAACCAUGCAUUUUUGCCGAAACUGGCUUCUUUGUCAAUUUUAAUAGUAUUUGGUGCCUUCCACUUAUGUCCUGUCCUUGGAUACAAAAAGUAUUCUUGUUUCAGUGAGUCACUAAACAUUUAUUGACCUCCCACUAUGUGUCAGACAUCAUGUAAACCCUGGAGAUGUAAAGGAAGGUAGAAGAUGAUCUCUUUGCUGUCAGGGAGCUCACAGUCUAAUGGUCAAAACAACAAGCAAACACCUAUGUGUAAAGAAGAUAUAGACUUAAGGGUUCUGGAUGUGCCCCGAAUCAUCCUGGAAAUCCUGAAAUGUAUUGAGUAGUGGAAUUUCAUGGUAGGACUUGAGCUUUUGGAACAUGAUUUGGAAAGCUAGAUGCAGGAUGGAAUGGAGUAGGGAGAGAGUUGAGGCAGGAGGCCCAGUAAGAAGGCUAUUUCUUUAGUCUAGGCAUGAUAUGAUGAGAAGCUGCACCAAAGUGGUUGGUGACAACAUCAUAAGAGAGAGAUGGCAGAUGUUAAGAAGGUAAAACUGACAGGGCAUGGCACCAAAGAAUAAAUUCUUUGGUUUUCACUGCAAAUAGCCCCUUUUUUCUCCAGUAACUAAUCCCCUUCCUUCCCUCUCUCUCUGGUGCAGUAUUUGCAUUUUCCAUCUCAAGCUGUAGAAUGCCACUUAUUGGCUUUGUAUUCUGAGAGCCUGAAAGUUAUGAAACUCAAAUUUGUUCCUGCUCUUCCUGGAUGGCAAACUUCCUUAGCAGGCUAGUUAAUAGGGUUGCUUUCUGUUUGGCUUCCUAUCUUUGACCUAGAGCUUCUGGCUGACUGGUUUGCUUCUCCCAAGAGGCUGAGGGAAUUUUCCUACAAUUUGGGUUAGAAGGUAGCUGUCUGUGACUCACUUUGGGCUGGUGGAGUGAUGGGACACCUGGGAUUGCUGGAGCGCGCACAAGGUACCCUUUUUACCUCCAUUAACAGCCUCCCAUGGUGCUUUGUCAUCCUCCUACUCAUUGGGUGGUAAGAGUAAGUUUGUCCAAAUUUCAGUGUUCCAAUGGAGAGCAGAGUGAAAACACACCUGAAUGUUAAGAAGCUUCAGUUGUCUGUUGGUUGUGGCUUUACAGGAAGGACACUUCUGUCUUGGAGAAUUGUCUUAGCUAUGAAGCAUUAACCAAGACUAGGAGUAGCCAUCCUGGCACCUACACCUACUUUCCUAGUUUUCUCUUAGGGAAGGCAGAAAGUAAGGUGACCCUCCUUUGAUUGGUCAGUAAGAGGGCACGGCCUGAGAGAUGUUGGUCUGAAUCUGAUGCUCCUUGACCUGGAGGGAAAUCCUUCCCCAGUGAAAGUGACAGAAGAAGCCAUUAGGUGGUUUGCAAGUGUGUAAGAAUGAAGAUGGCCAGUGAUUGUGUGAGUGAAUGUAUGACCUUGAACCUGUCAUGAAAGGAAACCCUUGUAAAGAACUGCAGGAGGCCUGUAGUUGGAUCUCCUCACAGUGAGAGUUCCUGAGAAUCACUGAUUCCUGAGCUAGCCCAGGGACAAUCUAUGUCUUUUUGUAUAUUAUAUGGAGAAUCCUACUGUCUUUAAAUGUCUCCUAUAGUGCAGCCUCUGGGCUCUGAAGCACCAGUUCAGCCUGUGGUUAGAUUGGACCAAAUGGAAACCAGCCAUGCCACCCCCACAGUCCUGGAUCAUCUCUUACCUCAAUGUUUUCCUUUCUCAAUUUCUGUUAUGCCUAUUGAGAAAGGACUUUGGAACUAAGGGAAUAGAUCUUGUGUCCUGAGACUUGAGGAGAGAGUGAGCAGCGUUGUUUGUACUUGUUUGUUCUGUGUAAAUAGAGAGACUAUGCUGUCAACAUUUUCUCUUAUUUUGUGUCUUUGGAAAGACAGCUGAUCUUUUUCCUAUGGUUUGAUCUGCCAAAGGGGAAAGGGUGAAAAAAGUGGGAGCUUUUCACUAAUUUCCCUUUAUUCCUAAUUCUGGCCAAAGUAGGAAUACAGGAGAAACAGGCAGGCAGAUAGACAAGCAGACUGUCUCAGACCCAGAGAGAGAUAGGGGCCAAAGAUUCUUUUGCCAUUAGUAGAAAUUUAUGGAAUGGCACAUCAAUUAUAUAAUGAAUUUCUGAGUGGUGUCAUCUCUUUAUUGUAUGUUACUAAGUUGUGAUGUCACUAUAGCUUGUAUAUUCUUACAUAUGCUGCAGUAUCUUAUUGGCUUUUUGAAGAACGAGUUCUCCAGAAGUAUAAUCACAUAUUAGCUCUGUGUUCUUGGAUAAGUCAGUUAACCUCUUCCUACUCCAGUUUCCUCAACUGUGUUCUAGGAAUUUUCAUAGGAGUUACACCACAGUGAAUUUCUCUGGAUAAAAUAUUAAAUUUGUCUUUUAUGUGGCAUAGCCUCUGGAAAAUACUAGAAUUUUAAUAAAUAUAUAUUUUCCUUCCUUCCUCCCUUACAUGAAAGUAUGGAAGUCAAUGGGUUCUAAGGAUCCAUUGAAGUUUGGAGCAAUGAUUUUUUUCCAUUGAAAAAAAGUGAUGCACACCUCUCAGAUUCUGAGAGGUAACAGAGGAGAAGGAAAUGAAUAAAAUGGAUAGAGGAAAAAGAUCAAUCUGAAGGGAAGUAUCAUUAGAUAGUUCCAGAGCAAGGUCUAAUGCUUGGUAGAGAGACAAACAGAGAUGGAGAUACAGGGAGAGGAAAAGAGACAAAGCUUGUCUCUUUUCCUUGGCUAGAGGGCGAACUCAGAGGCUAAGACAGUAAAGUUUCAUAACAGUGGUGGAAUGAUAAAGGUGGGAAAGGGUGAAACAGUUCCUCAUUCAACAGACAGCCAAAGUCAAGGUGGAAAGAUCAGUGUUGUCUUCAUCAGGCCUGAGGUUGGAUCCCUUCUCAGUAAUGGAGAAGGGGUUUUUUCCUUUGCCAGUCAGUCAGUGUGCCUCAGCUGUAGCUUUGUCUUCCAUAAAAUGGUAUUGGGGCCUUCUUUCCUGCAAUGAUGUCACAAUUCUAGGGUCUUGUGAAGGAAAGAGGUGUUGGUGGACUUUGGGUACCAAAUUCACCCUAUCCCUUAAAGCAUUCUCUUCCUUUCCAGGAGAGUGAAGGAUUGAUGACUUUAAUGUCAGGAAAUUUAUUUCACUAAGUGGGAGAUUCUCAGUCCUUGAUAUAAUUGAAGCUUGUCUUCAAUAUUUGUCUUUAGUGAUUCCAAAUGUGGAGGAAAACCUAAGGAAAAUAUUUUUGCAGUUUUAAGUUUUACAAUGAAUUUGAGGUAGAUGAGAAAAUUAUCCUAAAUUAACAAAAGAGAUUUAGUGGAUGACAAAGAAAGUAGCCCCAAAGAGUGUGUAAAACAGGAUUAGGAAGGAGGGGGGGGGGCAAGAUUGAGAAAGUAGCAA